GGAGGAGAGGUGUCAUGAGAUCAUUAUUUUUGUCAAAGUAUAAUAAAUAGAUAUAUUUUCAAACCAAACCAGAUCGUUGAUAUGACUGGUAGUCGGUUUUUUCAACCCAAAUAACCCACUUCUAAUUAACUUCAACUGCUCAAGCCAAGCCUGCAGGCAGGUAACAAGUGGUGUCGUAUAUUGUAAACAUUGUUUCUUGUCUCCUGCUUUGUAUCUGUCACUUAUUUAUUUAAUAAAAGCUGUUUUUAUCUUUUUCUUUAUUUGACUAAAUUAAUCGAAACAUAAUAAAAUGUAAUGAAAUAGGUAUCCAUGGGCACACAAAAUAAGAUCUAAGCAAGUAAUUAAAAGAGAAAUUGUUUUAGCCAGGUGAACUACAGUCGUAUAUGUCUCUUAAGAACGAAAGGCACUUACUUUUUUUCUCAUCCCAAUAUUGAAAGAGGUCUCGAUUUCAAUCUUUUUAUUUAUUUAGUUUUUCGAAAAGUAGAAGGAAAACUACUUUAAGAGUAAGAACAUCCUGGAGACCAAUCAUCUACAAGGACUCCAGCCUUAAAGAAAGGGAGGGAGCUCAAUUAAUUCAUGAAUGCAACAACAACAACACAAAUACACUACCCCAUGUUAUGUAUACGAAAUUAUAUUUUUCUCUUGUUAUAGUGAAGGUGGUCAGUCUCCCGAACACUUAGCUAGGCGUAUUACUAAACCUCAUAAAUUUGUUGUGUUUCACUUAAUCAUCAUCUUGACUACACUUUUUUUAAUUUUAUCUUUUCAUCAAUCGGUUUGAAGAUUGGCAAAAGUUUAGGGAGAUGGGAGGCUACCGCAUCCCAUUAUUAGGGCAUACCAAAGUCUCUUUGAGGACUUACAGAGAAGGUCUUAGCCCCCUUUUUGGUCUUUUCAUCUGUUUUGUUUGGAGCGAUUAGGGGAAUUAAUUUCCCAACAUGUUUUACGAGUAUCCUUGCUCAUCUCCCACAUGUAUUUUACAAAUUUUUUUCCAAAAUAAAGAGUGACAGAGGUGACAAUCCGUAAUUCUGAUAUCUCUCCUCAUCUGCCUGUCGUAGAAAAAUAUUAAUCCAAAUGGACUUGAAUGGCGUUCCAAUGCCUGAAUAAAUGAUCAGUCCUUUGCAUAUAUAACACGAGCAAUUAAUAAGAUCUAACAUUUUUUUCUUUUCUAGAGACUUCUCACAACAGUCGCGUUCUUUCACAAAGAUUGGAGUGCGGGCCUCUAGGAACCAAAAAAAUGUUUUCAGAAAACUAAGAUCCGGAUAUAUUCAUCAUCAAGUUUGAUUGCUUUUUCACACGCAGGUCUUUGAUAAGUCAUAAAUGUGCUAGAUUGAUAUCCAACAGUAUUCAAUACUCAAUCCGAAAAAGAACUAAAUUUAAAAGAAACAAAUUGCACUAACAAGUUGCAUAGAUCACCAAAUUUGUAACAAGAUAGCAACCUUGACCAAGAUUUAAAACCAAAGAAAACAAGCACUCGGAACUACUAUUGAAACAAGAUUUCGACUCUCACCUUUUCGAAUUUGAUCGGUAGAAAGGUCCAUUGGGAUCGAGUUGUUUACACAGCUCAAGAUAGGUGAGGAAAAGAACUCGAUCCUUGGCGCCGGUUCGGUGAUUUUUGGUGUGCUUACAGAAAUACUUCAACUGCUCAAGCGUGCAGCAACCAAGCAUCUGCCCUAGCAGCAAAAACAGCCAGUUGAUGGCCUUCUUUUUCUCCGCUAUGAUCGGUUUCCCGCUGCUCUCUUCUUGACAAUGCCUGCACCUAGGAAGAACCGGCGUCGUCCAUGAACGCGGUGCCCUAUCACGCAGCGUGUUCUUAUUCUCAGCAACAAAACUCCCAACAUCAGUAAACUUCUCCUCCAGAUCGUACUCCACCACGAAUGACUUUUCACAUCGCUUGCACUGCACGUCACCAGUGAUAGUACGGAUACCCCUUGACAACAAGUACUCAAGAGUGUGCACCGUGGCCCGCCUGGUGGUGGCCCACGGAAAAGGGGCCGGGACAGUCUUACUCUUUCCCUCCCGAGGAACCUGAGUAGGGUUUCGUCGGGUACGAAUUGGGCGAGAUGUAGAAGGCCCCCGGCCCGGCUCUUGGGAAUAAACCAAGGGCAUGGAGGAGGGGAUGAGGGAAGGUGGUUGUUGUGUAGUCAUGUAAAGAGGGUGUGAGGGUGAGAGUUGUAGAGGUUGGGGUGGAGGGUUUUGGGCCGUGAGGGUUUGCAUGAACAAUGACGGCAUCAGCGAAGGCGGUGGUGGGGGUGGAUCUACCGGGUCCGGACUUCGUCGAGGCCUUGAUGGACGGUAAGGACUGAGAGAGAGAGCGAGCAUGUCGUCUUCGUCUUCUUCGGAGAGCAUUGGUUGGUUAAGAUCUUGGUUGUUGUUCUUUCUCUUGUUGUUGAUUCCUUGGUCGUUGUUAUUCAUCUGAAUUAGGUUUGAUGGGGAAGAGAAAAAGAGUAGUUGAAAGCAAGAAGGUAAAGUAAAAACAACUAAAACUGUGAAAUGGGGGUUUGAACGAAGACAGGCUGAAAUUUAGAGUUUUGGAGAUAAGACGAAACAGAUUCUUAUAUAUAGGAGGAAGGAAUUGGGAUUGGGUUAGAAGUCUAAUUUAAAUUUUGAAAGAAAAAGACUAUUCAAAUUCUUAUUAGUAUUUUGUUUGGCUUAGAAACGAUAUUUUACUUUAAUCUAAUCUAAACUAUCGGUAUUCGAACUUAAAUCUACUUUAACCAACUUGGGUUAUCUCAUGUCUGCUUUAAAUUUAAAUAGUAUUUUGGACUAAGUGUGUGUCCUUGGAAGAGUUAUUUUAGACGAAAAUCACUUGGUUUUGUUCACUGAACUUAUCUCUUAUCUCUAACAUAUUCCAUAAUAGCCUUCAUUUAUUAGGCAAUCCUCUAUAAAACAUCAGAUGUCGUGGAGUUCCAAAAAUAAUAGCUUUUAUUUUGAUGACCUAAGAUGUGGUGGAGUUCCAAAGUUUGUCUAAAAUAAGGUAGUGGCAUUUGUAUGUAGACAAGCUUGAUCUUAGUGACGACCCAAAAUUAAGUCCUAAUUCUUUUUCAAAUCCUGUGAAUCGUGGACCUAAUUGGUCAUGAGCAUUAAGUUUGACUAAUUUUUCUUCAAUUUUCUCGUGAGAUAUGAUGUUAGCCAAAAUGUUCCCACCACAAAUUGAACGUCAGCCAAUAUGACAUAUAAGGAGACAAUUUAUUAAGAAAAAAUAAUAUGGUACUUGACACAUUGUAAAAGUAUCUUGUAUAUUCUGGCCACAAAAAAAUAUCUUAUACAUAGCGGCGGAGCUAGUAGUUUGUCUUUCGGGGCCAAUAGCCUUAUAUUUCAACUGAUAUUGCAGCAGGUGUUUAAGAGUUAUUGACUUUUUCAAAGAGUUUGGGGGGCCACAACCACUGCAGACUUGUAUGUGGCUCCGCCCUGCUUAUACAUAUCUUAUCAUUCAUUAAAAAAAAUAUUUUUUCACAUAUUUUAACUUAUCUUCGAAUACCCUAUAUUUUUCUUUGAAUACUCCUUAAUCGGGAUAGUCUUCUCAAAACAACCAUCAUCCCAAAACUGCAAGAAACUGUCAAAAUCACCCCAAAUAAAUUUUUAAAAAACUAAUUAAAAUUGUUAAGAGUUUUCAAUUUUAACAAAGUAUGCAACAAAACAUUUUGGCUGUAAAAUCAUUACAUGCCCCGAAUGUUGUGUUACAAUAAUGUUAUAUACUCAAACAACAAAAUCUGGCUACGUAUGAACACAUAAAAAUACCACAUUUAUUAGACAUUUGACCCUUGAAGUGGUACAUUCUCUUCUUCUUUUUUUCCCGCGUUGCUCAAUAUAACACUAGAACAGUGAGAAUUUGAUGCCUCGUGGAACCCUUUCUUAGGGCACACAUAUGUAUGCAUGUAACCUAAUUCAUCAGUUUAAGACAUACGUACGUGUUAAAAUUUCAUCAAGGCCAAUUAGGACAUUCGGGUGCUGCAUUAUACCAUGAGUCUCUUUCUUUGUUGGUAUAUCUAACAAAGCCCUAGAGAUUAUCCCGCCAUCAUUCUUUUUUUUUUUGCCCAAGUUACUGUCCUUGGAAGAGUUAUUUGAGGAGGAAAUCACUUAAUUUUGUUGGUUAAACUUAUCUCUUAUCUCUAAUAUAUUAUAUAAUAGCCUUCAUUUAUUGGAAGAGGUCAAAAUUUUAUGGCAAAAUUAGGCAAUUUUCUAAAGAGCAUUUGCAAUGAUUGUUCAACAGUUCAUUUCAUUUCAAUUCAAUAGUUAAAUUUAAUGAACUUUUUUGGCAACUAUUGAACUAAAUUGCUGUUUGACUUGCAGUGGUACAAUUCAAUAGAUUACAAAUUUAAAAUUAUAUUUUUUAAAUAUCUUGUUAAAUGAUUGAGUAAAAUAAAAUAAAUAAAGUUAAUUACAAUAAGACUUAUACAAUUAAAAUGGUUUCAAAUAGAUCUUCAAAAAGAGGCCAAUUUUGAAAAUAUAUAAUUAAUUAAUAUAAAAAAAACUUUCUUUAGUUUGUGACAAUAUUAUAUUAACAUUUUUUUUUUCUGAAGAAUUGAAAGUUGAGAUUAAAUGAAAACACAUCAAAGCACCUCUUUUUUGAGUUAUUGUACAAAGUAAUAUUGUCCAUGUAUCAAUAAGAGAGAGGUUGUAUAGUUAUUAUGGUGGGCCAGCUUCUUAAAAUGAACUAUUGAUCCCUGAAAUGAAAUAUUGAUCUCUGAACUUUAUCACUGUAAAUAAAAAAUUCAAUUGAAAAAUGCUAGGCUUGCCGCAUUUUUCAUAUCACAUUGUGUACCACCUCUCUAAUAGAGGUGGCCUCAUUUGUAUUGGUGGGCUCCACCUCUAUUAGAGAGGUGGUACACAAUGCAGUAUAUAAAUGUGGUAAUCUAACAUUACCCCAUUCAGUUUAUUGAAAUAAAAUUGAAUUAACCCUCAUCAUUGUAGAUACUCUAAUAAAACAUCAGAAAUUAAUCAAAUCAGGAAGCGGAGUUCCUAAAAUAAUAGCAUUUAUUUUGAUGACCUAAAGAUGUGGUGGAGUUCCAAAGUUUGUCUAAAAUAAGGCAGUGGCAUUUGUAUGUAGACAAGCUUGGUCCUAGUGACGGCCCAAAUUUUAGUCCUAAUUCUUUUCCAAAUCCUAUUAAUCGUGGACCUAAUUGGUCAUCAUCAUUAAUGACACAGUGUUCGAAAGAUGCAUCCUGGUUUUCAAUCUUGCUUAGACUUGUAUUAUGUGUAUUUUGAACAUGAAAACGUAUUGAUUAAGUUUGACUAAUUUUUCUUCAAUUUUCUCGUGAAAUAUGAUGUUAAGACUAAUAAACCAUGCAUAAAAAGUUCCCACGACAAGUUGAACGUCAGCCAAUAUGGCAUUUUGACGAAAUAAUCUGGUAUGUUGAUACGUUGUAAAAGUAUAUUGUAAAUAUCUUAUCGUUUAUUAAAACAAAACGAAACUUCCGUUGUAAAAGUAUAUUGUAAAUAUCUUAUCAUCUAUUAAAACAAAACAAAACAAAACAAAAUUAAGCUACAAUAAGAAGAUCGAGAUGGAUGCAUUAAUUUAACCUUUCAAAUCUCAUUCCUCCAAACUCAGAAAAAGAAGAACCAUUCAUGGAAAAGUAAUACAAAAAAUCCAUCUUCGGUUUAUAACAAUUGUUUCCGUAAAAUAUCAAUUAUGGGUCUUGGUCUCAUAAACCAACUUACUUUUCUUUAAUGUAAAAUAACCAAAGUACACUACUUAACAUAAGAUGGUUGAGAUAGUUUUGGUUGGAACUUGUCAUUUUGCUCAUGCGAAAAUAGAUUUGGUUGGAACGAAUAUUCUAGAUAGUUUGGUUUUUGUAUCACAUAUGAUUUAGACCAUCUUUAUUGCAUUUCAACCCUCGUAGAAGGUCAGUUUGGAUUCAUAUAUAGGCAUCAGAUCUCCCCGAAGCUGUGAAGCCUUCGAUGGUGUUGAUGGGGCUGUGAAGCUGUUCGAAGAGAGAGAGAGAGGGGAUUGAGGGAUCAGACACAAAAAAGAAACAAUUUUUCAGCUUGUUUACAUUUUUUUUACAUUUAUUCCUUCGAUUCACCAACCUACUUUGGAGAGGGGGAGAGAGAGAAUAACAAGUUAGUUUGUCCAGAGAGAGAGAAUAAAAAGCAAAACAAAAUGGUGAUAGAGAAAAAGAGAAGUGCUGAUUGUAAGAGAGAGAAAAUUAACCAAUUUUUUAAAUGUUUUAUUUUAAUUUUUUAUUAGUUUUAAUUAUUAGAAUAUUUAAUUAUAUCUUUAUCUACGCGGAGGUGGAUUCCACUUACUGUGUCACUCUUUAUUGGUGGAUAACAAUCAAUGUGUAUGAAAUUAUAAAAAUGUCCCUGCCACGUUAUCAUAGUUAACAGACUUUUGGACGGAGUUGACAUAAAAAGCAAAGUGAGUCACCAAACCACGGUCAAGCGAAGUAAAUGGGCCACUUUAAGUUUGAGGGUCUUUCGAGAAAUGAGAUAUUGAUCCAGAAUCCUUUUGUUUAGAUGACUCUACUAAAAAUUUGGAGGAAAUGAGAUAAAAAGGGUUGGACGACAUUAUGCAGGUGUUCACGGCCAAACAUCAUCCGCACUGUCCUCUAUGCCUAGUCACUUUUCUCUUGGAGGGAGCUCAAGCACAAUGAUUAGUGCAAAAGCGAAGGGAAAUGUAUUGAAACAGUAAACUUUAAUUUUUGUUUCUGCAUGCAAAUUUUAAUUAUGAACUUAAUUAUUUUAUGAAUAAGUGAUUUUUUAUUUAUUCAAUAAGUUAUGUAUUUUAUUUGUUAAAUGUAUUGAAAGAAUUGUGACUUUCCUUCUUCCUUAGCAAUUCUUGAACAAUCUUGUUCUCCUGGACCUUAGAGGAAGUUUUGAUCACUCACCCCUGGAUCUAAUCUAAGGGUUGAGAAAAAACUGAUUUAAAUAUCAAUAUGUCAAGAUUUUAUUAUUUUUACUGUACUAAAUAUUAAUUUAAAUUAAACAAAAACAAAAAAUGUAAAAAAGAAAAAAUCACUCCAACCAAAAGACGCUCUCUCUCUCAAAAAAUCAAGAACAUGUUCUUCAUCCAUUGUUGUUCACAACUGCCUUCAACUCCGGCAUUGCGACGAAAAUCAAGAAUACGUGUCGUUUAAGAUUCACUUUAAUUCUUAUUGGUUAUCUAUUUCAUCUCUUGAUUUAGAUUCAAAUAUUCAAUUAUUUCAUAAACAAAAGAAAAUUUAUUGACCCAAAUUCGGAGCCAUCAAGCCAUCCCUUUACACUUUAACGUGAUUGGAUUUCAAGGACCCACAACCAAGUCAUUUUUCAAUUGUUCUAUGCCUUUGUGAUCAAUUUGCUAUUUAUAAAUGUUAGAUUUGAAUGAUUCUUGAACCAAGUUUGGGAAAACUUCAAUUUUUUAUAAACAAAUUUAGGGUUUUUUUGGGGGUUUUUUUUUUCCCCCCAAUUCAUGAACCCAGACUUGGGUUUUUGCAACUAUAUUGUAGUUUCAUCUAUGAUAUUAACUCGUUUUUUUAAAUUUAAAAAAAAGUUUUAAUAACUGAAAUAAUAUUUUACUGCAGUAAAAGUAAAAUAAAAGAUGACAUAUUAAUAUUUAAACUUUUUUUUUCAAUUAUUAAAUUAGAUCCAAGGAUAGGUAAUCACAACUUGAAACCAGAAGCAGUACUUUUAUUAUAUUGAUACACCCACCCACCCAACCUCUAGUAAGUUCUCCCUAACGACACUUCUACCCAAUUGCCAUGGCAAAAGACAAGAGUAAGUAAAUGCAAUUACUGUUCACAUGAAUAGUAUUUGUCAUAGCAAUUUUUUUGGUGCUUUUCCAUUAAUUGUCAUGGCAACUCAAGAGUAAUUACCAUUCACAUGAGAUUUUAUGUAUGAGAUUAAUAAAUAAAAAUUUGCUAGGUAUGUAUUUAAAAAAAAUUCUGAAUAAUUUUUAAGAAUUAAAAAUAAAAUAAAAUAAAUUGCUGAUGUCAGUGCCCCUCUGACAGCAGCUCGGGCUAUCUUGCCUUGGGCCUUGCCAGCUCUUGCCCGGGUUGGAUGUCACCGCUGGAGCUGAUUUUGGGAGACCAGGGGAGGCUUUUGUCCGGGCUGGGCUCUUGGAAUCCAUUCAUCCAAAAGAAUCCUCUUCCGAACCCAAUAUCUUCCUCUCCCUAGUCCCUCAUGUGCCCUCGAUUGCUCGUCUGCUGUCGGCGGUCAGGUACUGUUUUGGAGCCGCGACGUCGUCAAUCAGGUACUGUUCUCGCCUCUGGAACUGAGUCGUUAAAUCUUUCGUUCCGCGAUUGGGUACGCUCGAUCCAGAUCGAAAUUCGUAUGGGGGUGAGCGAAUUAGGCAACUAUGCUGCUAACUUAUCUUUUCUUAUUCUGGGUUUCGUAAUGUUUACUUCUGUGUCACCCAAAUACAGUAAGACCAGCGUGUUAAGAGCUUCCGGAUUUAAUUUCCAAUUUGUCAUGGUUUUUGUUUUGUUUAGGGUUUAAGUUCUUACUGUUGCACCUCUUAAUUUAGGUUUUUUAUUAUUCACAAAUGAGUUUGUUGUUGAGUUCUAGUUAAAUUUCAUCCAGGCUCUGCCCUGAAGCAGAUUAGAGGGCCAUGGUGAGGAAGAGGCCAAACAUAUUGGUGACGGGCACACCAGGAACGGGGAAGACAACAACAUCGUCUGCCUUAGCAGAGGCAACACAGCUCCACCACAUCAACGUCGGUGAUUUGGUGAAGGCCAAGAAUCUCCAUGAUGGGUGGGAUGAUGAGCUAGACUGUUACAUCAUCAAUGAAGACCUGGUAUGCGACGAGCUUGAGGAUACCAUGGAAGAAGGAGGGAACAUUGUGGACUACCAUGGUUGCGAUUUCUUCCCUGAGAGAUGGUUUGAUCUUGUGGUUGUGCUCCAAACUGACAACACCGUCUUGUAUGACCGCUUGACUCGAAGGUAAUUUUCUUCAUCACUGCUUCUUUUCUAGCGUUGCUUCCUUGGGAAUUGAAAAGGAAAACCUAUGUUUAUGGCAUUGUGGGUUUUCUUUUUUAAUAUUGUGGCAGAGGAUAUUCGGAGUCAAAGCUCUCCAACAAUAUUGAAUGUGAAAUAUUUCAAACUUUGCUUGAGGAGGCAAAAGAGAGCUACCCAGAAGAUAUCGUGCUUCCCUUAAAGAGUGAUAGCAUCCAAGACAUUUCGACUAAUCUUUCUACUUUGGCAGAAUGGGUCCGGAGGUGGCAACCUUCAACUUAGUUUCGACUAAUCUUUCUACUUUGGCAGAAUGGAUCAAGCUUUUGAGAUGAAUUUUUCGUGUACUAUUAUUACGACAUAUUUGUUUUCUGUCUCGUAUCAGUUUUACCAUUAUGUUAUGUCUCUCGCUUGAAUUGCUAUUGUUCAUUGAAGGGGUUUGAUGAAAUGAAUUUUGUAAUGAGGGGCAUUCAUAGUGACUAGAAAGUUUGUAAGGAGGAUGCAGCCUGCAAAUUGGCUUGAGUUUUGGUCCUGUUGGACUCUAGAAGAAGACCAUCAUUUCGUCCCAAGACACCUUCUUCACUGGCAGCAUGCUUUUGCUGCUACCCUUGAGAUCAGCAACAUUGAAGGAGAAAAAAAAAUUUAAGACCCGUUUGAUAAUUAUUUUUAUUUUCAUUUUUUUACGCUAAAGUAUAGAGGAAAGAAGAAUAAUGGAAAUGUGAAGAUGGAAUUGAUGGAUCAUACAUAAAAUUUGUCAAUAUUUCAUUGAAAUUAGUACAAAAGCAAGGAGAAUUUACUGUUUUGUUAUCUCGGUCAAUAACGCUAUGAUAAUGUAAUAAUAUUUUCACAUGGCUUGGUAUUAUUGGCAGCAUAGCAAAACAGUCUAUUCCCCCCGCAACCAACCGUUUCUCCAAGCGAAGAGGGAAAAAUCGAAACUGCUGAUUCACAGUCGCAUCAAGCAAAGAAAUAUGCUGAGAAGAAGAGUCACAUCCCUUCUCUCCACCACCAUUCGCAGCUCCUCAAUUCGCACUAAACCUACUCUCUCAGCCUCACCAAUCUCAUUCCAAUCCCUCCAUUUCCUCCAAUGCCCAAACCCUAACCCUAGCAUUAGCAAUGCCAAAGGAUUUGGCUUUCAGCCUGAGGGAAUGAGAGCGUACAGUCUGCUGAGCUUGAACGAUCUGAGAGGCAAGGUGCCCAGGAAGCAGAAGACGAGGAAAGGCCGUGGGAUUGGGUCUGGUAAAGGUAAGACUGCUGGUCGAGGCCACAAGGGUCAGAAGGCUAGAGGCUCCGGGAAGUUGGGGUUUGAAGGUGGGCAGACGCCACUGCGACGUCGUUUGCCCAAGCGUGGGUUUAAGAACCCCUUUAGCCUCACUUUUCAGGUACCCUUUCUUUUCUUUUUCUUUUUCUUUUUCAUUGUGUGUAAUAUGUAUUGCUAUUUGUUUAUGGUGUUUUGCUGCUAGAUGUAUGGCACUGAAGAUAAGCUUUAUGCAUGAGUUCGAGCACAAUUGGUCCCUUUUUAUUAGAAUAAUUGAAUAGUUAGUUUGUUUCAUGCCUCUUAGACUUGGUGUAUGCGCAAAGAGGUUGAUCAAUUAACUUAUUCCUGUUAUAUUUGUUUUAUAUGUCAAUUCAGGUUGAUAUAUUUAGCAGAUAUAUGUUUGGGAUCAUCAAUCAUGUACUCUGUAAGAUGGCCAAAGUGCUCUGGUUGUGUUGUGUCGACACACACAUCGUAAAUGGUAGAAGCCUUUAGUAAAUAAUGAAAUACUGAAUUUUGCAAGCCCUGAGCUAUAAUGACCACCAGGGUUUUAUGUUAACUGUGUGAAUAUGCCUGUUUUGAUAGAUAAUAAGGGAAGUAGCUUCCAAAGGUGCAAUGGUAGUUGGUACUGAAGUAAAGUUUGCUGCUAUGGCUAGCAGAUUUAUCAUUUCCUUUUAAUUGAAUUUGAAUCCAUUGAAAGCCUUUUCUGUUUCUGGAUGAUUUAAUUGUAUCACAUUUAUUUCCAUUCAUUUUCUGAUAUUUUAUACAUGUCUUUGUGGCAGCCAGUAGGAUUAGGAAAAAUUGCCAAACUUAUAAACGCAGGAAAGAUUGAUUCGUCUGAGUUGAUUACAAUGAAAACACUCAAGGUGCAGUAAAUUCCUUCUCAGACUAUUGAGCCAAUUCCUGCAUCAACUUUGUUUCAAUCUGUCAAUUAUUGUUACAAUAGGAUACAGGGGCAAUAGGGAAGCAGAUUAAAGAUGGAGUCCGAUUGAUGGGACGUGGUGCUGAACAGAUCCAGUGGCCAAUUCAUUUUGAGGUAUAUGUUCAUCUAGGCUUUCUACAUGAUGUACUUUUUUGUGUUUUUUUCACCGUAAUUCUUUUGUGUGCUGGUUCAUCAGGUAAUCCCCAGGACUUUGAUACUGACAUUGACUUGAGUGUAACCUUGUGCACUUGAUAUCAUUGUUGUCACUUACAUGCAAAUCAUGCGAGCUUCCUCUUUUCCUUGCAUGCAACUCAAAAAUGGAUUUACAAAUGAGGUUUGCAGGUAUCGCGUGUCACUGUGAGGGCAAAGGAAGCCGUUGAAGCUGCAGGUGGGUCUGUCAGAAGAGUGUAUUACAACAAGUUGGGCUUUCGAGCAUUGCUGAAACCUGAGUGGUUUGAAAAGAAAGGCAGGUUAUUGCCAAAGGCAGCGAGACCUCCCCCAAAACAGAAGGACAAAGUCGAUAGCAUCGGCCGCUUGCCUGCCCCAACCAAACCUAUUCCUUUUUUUACUGAAGAGGAGGUGGCCUCCAGUUCAUCCACUUAACAAAAAGGGAGCAAAAUCAGUUCUUUUUUAGAAUAUUUGUACUUUUACAUUAAGUUCCUUCACAUGCUUUGCAUGAACUGUUCUCUUUCAUAAGAAACAGUAAUUUUGUUACAGGGAAAAAUGAUCUGGAGGGAUAAAUGGAAUGAGUAAAGCUUUUCAUGUUGCCUCAGGAUCAGCCCAUUUCAGACUUCUGCACCUUCUAGUUCUCAAGAAAAUGAACUUGAUCAUCAGAUGCUUUGACAUGGUUUAACAAUUUUACUUGAAGCAUCUCACUUUUACCUUAGACGAAGGAAUAACAAAAGCUUUGUUAUGCCAAAACCCAACAGGUUUCUGUAAAUCAGAAACUCUGCAUCGGAGACGAAGGAAUGGCUUUAUUGUCUUAGUGUUUCUAGUUUGCGCCUUUUUACCGGUUUCAGUUCCGUUGUACUAUAAAUCCCCCCUUAGAAGCUUUUCUUAACGUACUUCAUGCUCGAUUGCCUGGCUCAAAACUUGGGUUCAACAAAUCUUUUACCGUUGCGGAAGGUUGAGGAGGAUAAAUCUUGCGUACAAUUCAUUUUUCACAUUGAAUCUCUUGCAUGACUAGCAUGGAACCAGCUUUACUAGAAUUUCUCUAUCAUCAAGUCUCUUCCUCUUUUAAAUUAAAGCAAUUCUCUAUCAAAACCUUGUGCCUUUGUUGAAUUUGAAUUUUUGUUGUGAUGCUUUCACCUUGGAAACUCAAUGAGAUCUUGCAAUGGGCAGAUCAAUCAUAGUUCUCCUCAAGGUAGGGUUUACUUCUUCCGUCUAUCUAACUUGCCGGAGGAACACAAACAUUCCGAAGGCAUAUACACAUCUCGCAUAUCCUAAGUUAUCCAAUUUUGAAGAACAACACAAUAAAACUAUUAGCAGUUUUACAUACAAUUAAAAUCAAAUAAGUUAUAAUGUUGAGUUGAUUCAUUCAAUCCCAUGACCAGAUAUUCUAAUUCAUUAUCUUUUAAGCCAUGCACCAAAAAGAAUUGAACCCGCAACUCCACCUCACUGUAACCAGCUUACUACAAUAUGAAAAAGGACGCAUUUCUAGUUUCUUUAAAUUAAUAGUUACUUUCUUUUUAGUUUCCGAUUCUAAUUAGGAUUUGAUUUACUUUCCUGAUUUUGGUUUAAUUUUACUUUAAAUCACGGCUCUCUUGCAUGCUACUCCAAACUCUGAAAUGGCCUAAGCAUGUCAGUUAAGACUCUUUUAAAAAAAAUACAAUUAAUUGUCUAAAUUAUUAUAAAUUAAUCUAAUAUAAGGGGAAGGGGACUCAAACUUAGGUGUAAGGAGGUAAGCACAUUGCCCUGGCCAACUGACCUAAUCCACGUAUGGCUAACUGGCAUAACCCACAGCUUGAGUUAAAACUUACAAUAUAAGUAAUUAAAUGUACAUUUCGUUUUGUUUCUAAAGGUGCGCUUAGGCUUUUCAUUGACUCAUUCUUGUUGAGGAAAUGACGAGAGUUUUUAAUUUGUAUUUUAGGCGGAUGAGUUAUAUUUUGAUGAAAAAUAUCAUUUUAAAGCUUAUCGCAUGACGAGACGUAACAUAUUAUAAAUAAAGUUUAUGAUAAUAUGCCAUAACAGGAAUCAACAGUCCUGAUCUCUUGGACUACAAGGUCCAAGAGAUUUGUGGUCAUUUACCGUUGGAUGUAAAUUCAACGGUUCACUCACUCUUGCACUCAUUUUAAGAAAGUUUUUUGAACCGUUGGAUGUUACAUCCAACGGUAGGUGAUCGCAAUCUCUUGGACUCCUGUGGUCCAAGAGAUCGGGACUGCAGGAACCAAAUGAUUAAAGAUUGACUUGAACAAAGAACCUUCAUAAAAUUUAGGGCAAAGUACAAGAAAAACCCUAUAUAGUUUAUGGGAUCUUCGAAUUUUAUUUCAUAGGAGUUCUCCCAAUUGAAAUUCGUUUUAGAUUCUCCAAAUUGCCAAAGGAAAAAAGAAAAGAAAAAACGUAUAAAAAAGUUGCUAAAAAGAAGGAAGAAGGCCUUUAGACAUAACAGCCCGCCCAGCCAUCGUCUUCUUUUCUGAAUUUCUUCUGCGUUCUAAGUUCUACUCUUCUUCUUCUUCAAUUCUAAUUUCUAAAAUAACCUUAACCCUAUUUUUUGGUCCACAAUUGCUUUCAUUACCCACAAACGGGCAAGGGAAAAAGGGGAGACCCAUCUCACAGCCGAAACCAGUAUCAGCUUCAGUUCUAAAUAAUUGAAUCGGCUCCUUUUUAUUUAGGUAAAUUUCAAUUUCAUGAGUUUAAUUUCAGCCCCUGUGUUUGAUUCUUUUGAUCUUUGAAUCAAUUAUUGUCAUAGCUUAUAAGCACAUCGAUGCCAAAUUGAUCUGGGUUUUAAUAUCUGAAAAAAUCCCCCUUUUUCUUUAUUUUGCUUCUCUUUUUAAUUUUUGUUGUUGAAAUUUUGUGAAUUCUGAUUGGUAUUUCUAUGUUACCGUUGUGGAAUGUUUUUUCCUAGAAUUUAAUUUCUAUAUCGAGUUAUUUUAAUGUAUGUAAUGUAUACCCAGGUUUAAAGUAACAGAGAAUUGUGAUUUAGUAUGAAAUUCUGGUUCAAAUUGAAAAUAAAAAUAGAUUAAAGCUAUUAUCUUUUGUUCAUUGUGUUGUUGGUUCACCAUACUGAUUGAAUAUAAAGAUAUUGGUACCCUGGAUUUUUAUUUCAGUUAUAUGCAUUUAUGCAACUUUUUACCUUCCCUCAAUUGUUCACAGUUUCCUAACGUUUCAUCACUAAUUUUCACUAGCCAAUACGAGCCGCAAAAUGGACAACAUAGUAGAUUCUCUAAACAAUGCAUACCAAGAGUUCGUUGUUGCAGCAGCUAAUGUGCUCGAAGCCAAGGAAACUUCUGGCGCCCAGAAAACAGCAGCCACAGAUGCUGCUCUUGAGAAUUUUAAGCAGAAGUGGGAGCUUUUCAGAGUCACUUGUGAUCAAGCGGAGGAGUUUGUGGAGUCUGUGAAGCAAAGGAUUGGCUCAGAGUGCCUGGUGGACGAGGCAACUGGCUUGGUGGCUGGGAAGUCUGGGCAAACCGCAACUGGUCUUCCACCCAUUAGUGCAGUUCGGUUGGAACAGAUGAGUAAAGCUGUUCGAUGUCUUGUCAUAGAACUUCAAAAUGGUUCUGGAACUGCUGCUGGUUCAGCACAUUCUCAUCUGUCAACUCCUUUUGAUGGCAGAUUCUCUGAAGAUUCAGCUCAAUAGGUAUGAAGGUUCUUCUAAGCUCGUAUUGAAAAUUUUGUAAAUGCAUUUUUUCGCUAAGAAAACAUCUGAUACCCCUUCCAAAUGAUUUUGAAUGCAAGCUUAAGGGAGUUGUGAUUUCCUUAUUGUUGUGAGCUUGGGUUGUGUCCCCUUUGGCAUUUACUUGAGCUCACUUCAAGUAGAUGCCACACUUUUUAAUGUAUGGCUGGCUGCUACGACAAUCUAUUUCUAUAUACACAAUCUGAUAAUUAAUGUUUCUACAUAUAAUCUGUUGUGUGUGUGUUUUAAAUUUCUUUCAUCAAAGGUAUGUGUCGUGUGUGCGUUUUAGGACAGGAAUUUGAACAUUUUCACAUAUUUGUUGGUUUUAAAUUUUUAUGAUCAUGAACUUAAUUAUUUAAAAAAUAAUAAUCAUGAACUUAAUCAGUUCAAACCUCAUGUAUACUUAUAUUGUUCUUUCAAUCACUUUUCUUUGUCAUAUAUACAUAUGAAAAUGAUUGAGGAAUUCAAAUACUUCCAAAACUCGGUUAAAAGUAAAUUCCAAGGCCUAUAUUUAUGCCAUACAUUUUGCUUAAAAAAUGUUCGUUCUUAUUAAGAGGUUUUUCCUGGAAGAUGUGAUCUUUACCUGCUAUUAUUUAGCCCCAUAUGUGUGUUACCACGUUUAGUUGAGUUCUACUCCAGAGAAGAAGGUGUUGUAUUGUGGUUUUUUGGUUUUGGGCAAUUUAGAGUACAGGAGAACUGAUAUAUUUAAGCUGUGGCAGAGGAUCGUCAGGUCUUUGGGCGCGGGCUAUCAACAACAAUGAAAAGAUUGUUAGAUAUUAAAUCUAACAGAGGAAAGCAAGGUGGUAGACCCCUGUGUUUGGGUGAUAUGGAAUGCAUAGAAUGCAGUCAUACAAGGUUCCACGUUCCAUUCAGUCGAUAUGGUUUUUCUCGGAGAGCUGCCUCAGUUGGGCAAAGAGUUGUAGUUUUAGUGGAAGGGACACGCUUGUGUUUGUAAUUUACCCUCGCAUUUCACUUAAUCUUCCCUAAUGUAUUGUUAGAACUAGAGUUGAGUUUUUCUAUCUGACUUUGAACAGCUGAACAAAGAGCUAAGAGCUUUGUCGAUGAGACAAACUAAUGGUCGAUUACGGUUGUUUUUCUUUUUGUGAUUUACUCCUGUGUGUAAUUUAUUCUUGCCUGAUGUAUUAUAUAAGAAAUGCUGGAAAGUAAGCUCAUUGUUGCCCAAAUUUCCUCCUUCACAUUAACCAAAUUUGAUGUCUCCAGUGAAUCAACUUCCACAUGCAAUGGCAAAAAACAAGCAUCAACUGCAAAAUCCAGCCCCAAUAUGAGAGCUAAAAGUUGUGUAUCUAGCAUUGCUUAUGUUGUGCGUUGCAAAGGCUCCUAUUAACAUCCAACUAAUAAAGCAGAAAUGUUCCAAUUCAAGAUCAGAUAAAGCACUUCUAGCUUGUUCAAAUAAAUGAACAAAACUUUUAGAUCUUCCAGCUACCAACCAACCUCACCAUAAACUUUUAUAUCAGAUAAAGCACUUCUGAUUUCCGUAUCACAUUAAUGCAUUCCAUGUGCUUCAUUUUAUUACAAUUCCAAUUCCAUUUUUCUGCCACACAAUGUAAUUUUCCCUAGCUGGUACUCAAAACGACGUCGUAUGGGUUGCUCUCCUCGUUUUCUAUUUUGGUUGGAAACUCUCCACGUUUAUGCACUCUCUCUUUUGUCCCGACAUUCCAUCUGCAAAUAGUGUGCGUUCUUCUUUGUCCCUCAUAUGGAGUGAGAAUUCCCUCUCAUUCUGUCUCUUCUGAAGCAGAUAUUUUAAAAUUUUCUCUUUCGAAAUGCUCUGAAGCACAAUUAACCUGAACCGAAAAAAAAGCAGGAAUUUACGUGAACUCAAUUGCAGCGACCAGAAACACAAGUACAAGUGUGAAAGAAGACAAAUCGCAAAUAUACAUCACAACCCAGAAACCACAAAUCGUUGCUCGAAUCCAGUACACAAUUUAUGUUGAAGGGUUAGUUUAAGGCUCACUUCAGCUUUUAUAUAUUGGAUGAAGCUUGGGUAAAACAGGGAAAGAGUUAGUUCAUACACAGAGAGACUGGUGGUUUGGCUUUGCUGCUCUGUUUCUCUCACUCCAAUAUUCGCCAAUUUAUUUCUGGUAAGUGAGAUUAGUUUCUGAUGAUUUCUUGAUUCUCUGAUUGAAUUUAUUGCUACCCUUUUAAUAAUUGGGUUAUUGAAAUGUUGGGUUUCAAUCGAAUUUUUCUUUUCUUUUUUCAGAAUGAUGGAUUUGAGGAUUGAUAUGCAGCGGGCUUCCUUUGCUCAAGUAAGUGCUUAAGUUUCUUCUUCUGUGAUAUUUGCGUAGUGGGUAUCUUUUGCUUUGGACUGAACUUCUGUUGCACCGAUACGCCAAAAAUUGGGGGUAUGCCCGUAUCAGAUACCGCCCCGAUACAAUACGGCACCGAUACGGGGAUGUUGACUUUACGAUACGGCUCCGAUACUCCAUCGAUACGGUCAUGAUACGGUCUCUAUACGUCAAGGGAUAAUUUUGACGGCAACCAAAAAAGAAGAAGAAGGAAGAAUGAAGAAGAAAAGAACUUACUUGCGCUUGCAGCUGCUGCGAUUUUUCAGUUGCUGUGCGAAGAAGGGGCGGCUAAUUAGUGAAGAAGAUGAUGUUAGGUGCCCUAAUUACAAUACACACCGUUUUAGUUGCAUGUUAGGUGGCCUAUGUUAAAAAAAAUUGUUUUAUACAAUUUUAAAUCCGAUGCAUUCAUUUGGGCCCAGCCCAAUAACUGAAACAAGUCAUAUAUGGCCGAGAAAAACAUAAGGAUCCAGAAGAAAAGGCCCAAAAUGCUAAUUUUACAUAUAUAUGUUUAUAUAUUUAUAUUAUUUUAAUCGUCGUAUCGGUGCCGUACCUGUAUCUUUAUCGUACUUUUUGGAGAUUUGCUAUAUCGGCAUAUCGUAUCGGAGUACCUGUAUCCGUAUCGGUGCAACAUAGGGACUGACACAUAUCUUGUGCUCUUUAAUUUCCAGCGCAAAUUACCCGUUAGAAGUUUACUCCUUUUACAUUGUAAUUAGAUUGCUGGAUGGUUGUCCAUUUGGUGUUUCCUGGUUGGAGGUUGAGGCUUUGCUCUAGAUGAUUUUAGCCCACAAAAGACAAAUUAGUCUAUAUGUUUCAAUUUAUUUUGGAAGCAUAAUCAAUCUAACUAAAAUGGUCAUGUAGGCAAACAAUAGGAUAGUCACUGUAAAAAGUUUGUUGUGAUCAUAAAAAAUGGUAUUGACAAGCUUUUCAAUGUGCUUAUUGACCUACUAAUUAGUUCGACUUUGUGUUUUGUUUUAAAUUCAGAUAUUUGUUGUAGUCCAUAUAAGAAAGGGCCUAUUUCUUAUCGUCUUCUACAUAGUUGAAGCACCUUCAUAUGGCAUAAUGAAGUAAAAGAAUAUGAUUGAAUUUGAUCUGUACAUUAUAGUGAGGUUGUUCUUUAAAAUUGGCAUGGGGAAAUUAGGAAACCUUGAGUUUGUUUUCUACCUCACCAAAUAAUUUGACAAAAGAAUAAAGUAGUGCAAAGAAGGCUUCUUUGAAGCUUUAUUCUUUGGAUGAUGGCUUUGUGUAAUUGAUGUUGUUUCUCUGUUCAUGUAAUCGGAAAUGAGUUUUAAUGUAGGUAAUAAACUUUUAAGAUAAAUUAUGAGCCUGAAAAGAUUGCAAGCUUUUUGAGAGGGUAAUGGAUUGUGAAUUAUUGGGCCAUUUAUUGCAAUAUCAGAAAAGCUAUGUAUUUGGAUGAUUAUGGCUGAUCGAUAUUCAUUCAUUUCGUAUGCUAUUUACUUCGAUAUUAAAGUCAAUGUUGAUCCUGUGUUGUGGCUGCUGCAGAUUGGCAAUCUCGGGCUUCUGCUCCUAUGGCAUAUUGUACACCUUUUUGUCAGCAUAUGGUACUUUCUAUUGGGUUUAGCUUAUGUGCUUCAAAGCUAUCUUAUUUCUGGUGGAGUACUCAAGAGCUACAAAGCCCUUAAUUUGGGCAAGCUACGGUACCUGGCAAUUGUGAUAGAAAGUGAAGAAGCUUACCAAACAUCAAAAGUAAUUGAGCUGCUGCAGUGGCUAGAAGCUAUUGGUGUGAAGCGUGUGUGCCUCUAUGAUACAGAAGGUAAUGGUGGUUUGCUAUCCUGAUUGAUGUCAGACACUUUCUACUAUUGGUAUGCAACAAUGUAACGUGUAUUUAAAUCUUGUACAAUUAUUUGACUUUUCUGAUGACCAGGAGUGUUGAAGAAAUCAAAAGAAGCCAUCUUGAAUAAACUGAAAAAUGCAAGCGAAUUUAAGGUGUUGUCUUCUGUCCCUACAGUAAAGUUACUUUCUGGUUCUACAAUUCUCCACCAUAAAUUAACUAAUUAGCAUACUGGGAAGCAGUUCAGGCCGUCACGAUCAAUCUUCCAUUCUAGGUGUAUCUAGAAUUCAGGAUUGUGUUGAGACCAACAGAGUUUUCUUUUGAUACCAAUACCAAGCAAUUGCCUUUAAUUUUUGUUUUAUAUUUUUAAUAUGACUCCUAUAUAAAGCAUACAUUGUUAGUCCACCACUAGAUUACUGACGUAGGGCGAGUGAGGGUUAAGUUUAUGCGAAGUAGUACUUUUUUCUUUAAAUAUAUAGAUCUGAUAAAUGAUUUGUGCCUUUCACAAUGGACAGUUAUGCAUUAUUUAUGAUGCUAAAGUGUAUACCCAACUUAACAUCCACGCUGUGCAGGCUUAUGAAGAUUUAGUCGAUCAAAACCGCAUGGCUCUGGAAAUUUUGUCAUUUUCUGAUGGAAAAGAAGCUGUAACCAAAGCAGCUAACUUACUUUUUGUGAAGUAUUUGAAGUUGGCCAAAUCAGUUGGAGAUCAUGAAGAGAAAAUCUUUACAGAACCUAACAUGGAUGAGGCACUAAAAGCUAUUAGUAUGUUUUACUGUCCGAUGCUCAAUUGUCUACAAUAAUGGUUACCUGCACAAUUCAAUUUGACCUUACAGGUGUUUAUGGUAAUAUGCUUUCAGGUUGUAGAGGGCCAGACCCUGACCUCCUAUUGGUUUACGGACCUGCAAGAUGCCACCUUGGUUUCCCUGCAUGGAGAAUUCGAUAUACUGAGAUUGUGUGAGUGUUCUUCGACAGAUGUGUGAUGCAGUUAGCUGCAUAUAUUCCUAUAUAUAUGUACUUGAUGUCUAGUGAAACUUAAACCACAAAGCCAUGGUGCAGGGAAAGAUGGAGUAACCAAUCUAACCAUAAAAAUAGGCCAGAACAGGAAAAAAAAAUUGUUAGUUUUGAGCCAGCUGAUUUGUGUAUAAUACAUACAUAUACAUGUGUUUGUGUGUGUAUACAUUUAUCUCCUUUGUCUCGUGCAGAUUUGUUUUUCUGCAGUACAUUUUCUGGGAACUUUUGUGCAACAGAAGCUUCUCCUUGAUGUAUUCUGUUUGUACCGAUUUUGUUUCUGAACUGAUUGUGUCCCAUAUUUUGCUUUACAGACAUAUGGGACAAUUGAAGUCUAUGAGAUAUGGUUCCCUAAUUAAAGCCAUCUACAGGUUCACCACUGUGCGGCAGAACUAUGGUAAGUGAUGUUCCUCUUCAUUUGUCUAAUUGUCAUCUCAUGUGAUAGUUUGAGAAUGAACUAAUGAUUUCAUAAGAUCCCUAACAAGUUUGCAAUGGUGUGCUUAAAACUGUUUAUUGGUUAAAAUUUGAAUUUAUUGUAUUAUUUGUAUAACUUGGUAACCUUUUUCAAUUUAAAAUAGUUGUAUGGUUUUAAUUUUCAUCAUCGAGCCGUACGUAGAAACUGAAGAUUUGUAGAAUUUGGUUUGAAUAUUAUGUAUUGUUCUUGUUCCAACAGGUAAAUGAUAUAGCAAUUGGAAGUUCAUAGCUUGGAUAAAUGAUGGCUUAUACAAAGAGUUCUCAAAGUCCAAGCCUGCUUAUCGUCUUCCGUGUACCCUAAUUAUGUAAACAAUAAUCUUGCUCUUGUACAAGACAUCCAUUAUGUUAUAAGUUAUAACCAGUAAUCUUCACCCAACUGCACGUCUCUUAUUGAUUUUCAAUUAAAUGGCAAGGAUAACCAAAAAAAGCAAAAGUGGGAAUUUAAAUGGCAACAUUUCAUUUUCAUAGACGAAUAAAAGUCAAAACAUGUUAAUCUAAACAUGUUCAUUUUCAACUUACGGUAGUUGGGUGUCGGUGCCAACCACAAAUCUAUAAGAUGAUACGCAUAGCAUUCACGUCAAUUCUCAUUAAUUAUUCAUAGUCAAUUCUCAUUAUUUUUGAAAAUAUUUAAAUAAAGGGGUUUUUAAAAAAAUAGUAAAUUGAAGCUAUAAUCCUCUAAUUAAUUUAGUUCUUGAAUUCUGUGAACCAAGAGGAUAUUUGGACUGAUUGGUAAUUUCAAAUGCAGGGUACCUAGAUUUUGAGAGUUUUUUUGUUUUUUGUUUUUGUUUGGGUGUGUGUGUGUGGACAAACUGGUACUUAUAAAACCAGGGCGCAAACAAAGCACCAAAAACAAACAGGCAAAUAAAACAUCAAAAGUGAACAUAGCUUCUGGAUACAUAUUGGAAAGAAAGAGACGCAAUUUCAAAAAGUCUUAAGUCGUCACAAAUAGGGGUGGGCAUCAAUAUGGCUGAACCGAUGAAACCGGCCGAAUUAAACCAUAAUUAUCGGUUUGGUUUAGUUUUGAUUAAGAAGAAGUCAAAUGGUUUAAAAACUGAACCGGACGUAUAUGGUUUGGUUUGAUUUGGUUUUGAGCUUUUGUAAACCGACCUAAACCAAACUGAACCGUUUAUGUGUACAUUUAUUUGUUUAUAUUUUAUUUUACUUGUGUAGUACUCUAAUUAGUUAAAAACUAUAUAAGAAUAUUUGAAUUGAGCUAUAUUAGUUAGUGAAAUAUAAAGUUUUAUGACAUUUUGAGCUUUAGGAUGGUUUCCUAGAAAAUGAUUUACGUAUGAAGCAAGUUGUGAAUUUGUUGGUUAUAAUUGGGCUAACAAUAUUGAAAAAAUGCAAAAAGAAAGAGAAUUGGGCUUAGGCCCAAAUUGGCAGAACCAAACCGAACCAAACCUUCUUAAAUUGGUUUGGUUUCCUUUAUAACUUUUAUCCAAACCGAACAAAACCAAACCGUCAUAUUGUAAUUGGUUCGGUCGUGGUUUUGAAGUAAAACCGAUCCAAUUCGGACCGUGCCCACCCCUAGUCACAAACCAACCAGCAUCAGUCUAACCAUUUUGUGGCGGUGGGCAUGGUAGGCCAUCCUUGUUUAGAAUGUUUGUCAGAGAGGAUGGGGGUCGGUCAACCCAGACAAAAGAGCGCAUCCUUGAGGAAGAUAGCUUGGGCAAGUGUAUUUGAGAGAUUAUUUGUGUUACUUAUUUAUUUGUUAGUAAUUAAAUUAUAGGUGUAGAUAUAUUAUAGGACAUAGCUUGGUUUUUGUACUUGUUUCAUUAUUUAAUAUUUCCUCAUCAAUAAAAAGCUAUCGCCUUUCUGUAAAAAUAAAUAAAUAGUAAUAAAUAAAAAUUAAGCGCGCUAUAGUUUAGGGAAUCCGUGAAAAGAGUAUUGGUUCAUUAAAUUCAACGGCAAAUGGUGUAAUUUGUUAUUAAAAAUAGGGGCUAGUUAAAUGGUGUGUUUAUUAAUUAGGAAUUGAAUUCCACUUAUGAAGGAUUUCUCUGUUUACUUCACGUCAAGUAAUUAAAAAGUAAGUGGAUCGACACAAAAUUAGAAAUUGAAUUUCUGAUUUUGGAGGAAUUCAAAUCUUGGGUGGGAGAUGAUAUUCUAAUUUACGGAGAACUAACCCAUUAUGAAUUCAUCUUUUUUUACCCAUUAUACUUUAACUCAACAACAAGGACAUUUUAGUAAUGAGUACCAUUCNNNNNNNNNNNNNNNNNNNNNNNNNNNNNNNNNNNNNNNNNNNNNNNNNNNNNNNNNNNNNNNNNNNNNNNNNNNNNNNNNNNNNNNNNNNNNNNNNNNNUACAUGGUUAUCUAUUAACAUGAACGGUAGUUAAACAUCACAAUCUUCUAACCAAAAAAGAAAACCUUACCCUCUUUUUAUUGACGUGGAUGUUCAUCUUAUCUGUCAUAUAAGGUGGUAUGGAAAUGUAGAAUAAAAAUAUAAUAAGUAUAGAGUGCUGCUAAACGAACCCUAAAAUUAACUUAGUACACCCUAUGAUCUAAGUACACCCUAAUAUUUUAAUUAAAAUAUCAAAUUAACUAAGUACACCCUAUAAAACUACCAAAAAUACCCCUGGUACACUCUAAUAUUUGUAGCAUUAUUUUAAAGUUAAUUUUUAGCUUAUUUUUUAAUAGUGUUUAUAAAUCUUUGACUUUUCAUAUGGAUUUGUGCUUCUACUAAAACUGUUGACACUUUUUUUGCAAUCCCAAGUUCUUGCAAUCAUCACCUCUUUCGUUAAAAACACAAUAGGACAAGCAAUCUCUUGAUUAGGGUUGAAUAUGGUUAGUAGGGUGUACUUACUAAAAUUAUAUUUGUUUCACAAUUCCAUAUAUCCUUUUUGGUCAUUUUAUAUUAGGAUAAAUCAGCAAUUCAAUAUAUACUUUUAUAGUAGGGUCUACUCAGUUAAUUUUAGGGUUCGUUUAGCAGCACUCUAAGUAUAACAUUACUAAUAAUUUGAAUUAACCAACUUUUUGAGGAUCGUUUCAAAAUAGUACCAAAUCUUUAAAAUUUUGUACUUAGGUAUUUGAACUCACGAAAAAUAUACAAAUUAGUUAAUCCAUUACUUACAUCAUUCUAUCUAAUUUAUCACGACCCUUAAAAUUUGGGUACUUUUAUGUAGUUCACCCUAAUAAUUUUCAAUAGAGGAUGCGAUUACCUCAACAAAUACAUCAACCAAUGGUAAGGGGGCCCAUAGACCAGGAAUGCCUUUUAUGUGGGGGCCCAACCGAAUCUACAAUCCAUAUCCUCCGUGACUUGCUUGGCGUAGUUGGAUAUCAAGCAACCGCGGGUGGAAUGGGACAAUGACGCUCAUUCACCCAAGGAUUGGGUAUUGGGAUGUGCAUAUUCACUCAGUUAUCAUGACUUGGGAAUGGGAAACACGUAAUGGAUGGCUACAGGAGGUUUAGGCCUGACCAAGUCAGCUUGAGUGCAUCUUUGUGGCUACAGGCUUGUUUGCGGGUUAAUGAUUUCUUAGGGUCUCAUUAAUGGGCAUAGUCAAGCAGAACAAAAGUGGCAGCCACCACCUCAUGUUAAACUCCCAAAAUCAAUGUGGAUGGUGCUUGGAAGCCAGGGACCACAGAGAGGGUGGCGUUGAGGUAGUUGUGAGAGACUCCAACGGCAAAUUUGUGGCGGUUUGUGCGUUUAAAAUGGAUAAUGUAUUAUCAUGGAAAGGAGUUUUUAAAAAGUUAGUCUUCGAAAGUGAUGCUCAAACUAGAGAAGGUUUUAUCCAUAUUCGUUGUAGUGACAAUUCAAAUUUUAUUUUAUUUUUGAUGUAUUGUAUGAGAACUGUAAUUCAUAAUCAAGGAACUGCCCUUUGUCCUUAAUAUGAACUCAAACUUGUUGUACUAGUUGUUUUACAUUAAUAAUAUUUUAUUGCUUAUCAUAAAAAAAAAAAACAAGAGAUAAUGUAUAUAUAUGUAAUUGUUUUCCCAAUAACAUGUGAUGGUUGGGUGUCAAUAUCAAUUAUUGUUAUAGGUCCUUUGUGAGCUAUUAAUGAGAAUCUUCUCAUUAUUGCUUUUGAAACAACAAAAAAAUAUUACAAAGGGUAGGCACAUUAUAAAAUCCUUUCGAAUGAAAAUAUAUAAAAUAUAUUUUCUCCAUUGCAUGGAAAACAUUUAUACUCAAAUAAAAAGAACACUAUUUAAUUAUAUUGUAAAUGGAUUUAUCCGUACGCCGGGGUUGGUGUUCUUUUGGGAUUCAAAUUCUGGUUUCUAUUAGUAGGGCCAAUCCAGGAUUGCAUAUGGAGGACUCACAUGGCAGCCACCUCAUGCUAACACUCUCAAAAUCAAUGUGGAUGGUGCUUGGAAGCCAGGGACCACAGAGAGGGUGGCGUUGUUCUGGUUGCAAGACUCCGGCGGGAAAUUUGUGGCGGGUUGUGGGAUUAAAAUGGAUAAUGCAUUCUCUGCGCUACAAGUUUGUGGCAGGUUAUGGGGUUAAAGUGAAUAAUGUAUUCUCUGCGUCAUAAAUGAAGACUUUGACUGCAAGAACAUGUACAAUAUUGGCGAUGGAAACGGGUUUGAAACUGAUGCCCUCUAGGUUACUUGAUAAGGUAUUACUCAUAUUCGUCGUACUGACAAUUAUGAUUUUAUUUUAUUUCCGAUGUAUUGUAUUUGUAUAAGGAUUGUAAUUCAUGAUUCAGAAACUUUCCUUGACCGUUAAUAUGAAAUCAAAUUUGUUUAUAUGUAAUUUUUUUCCCAAUAACAUGAAUGAUGUUUGGGUGUCAAUAUCAAUUAUUGUUAUAGGUCCCUGUUGAGCUAUUAAUGAGAAUAAAAAAGUCCACUUUUCCAAUAGAGAAAGAGAGUGAUUCCUCUAUGGCUUUUGAAAGAACAAAAAAAAAAAACACAUUAGAAAAUCCUUUCGAAUAAAAAGAUAUAAAAUUUAUUUUCUCCAUUACAUGGAAAACAUUUAUACUAAAAUAAAAAAGAAGAGUAUUUAAAUCCUAGUAGUAAUAAUAAAAAUCCCUAGUAAACACUAGUGGACUGGACUGUAAAUCCUAGUUGACUUGACUUUUGUUUUCGUCACCAUCGCCUUGUUUGGUUUGCUUGGUCUGCUUGAGCACGGCAUUCGCUUUUUUCCACCUGUGAUAUUUUCCAAACAGCACCUCUAUGUCUUCAAGGGUUCUUCCCCUGGUUUCGGGGAGCAGCAUGUAAAAGAAGACCCAACUCAACGCAGCAAUCCCCGCGUAGAGAAAGAAGGACCCACCAAUCGUAAUGGCCUUGUACAGUGAGAGAAAAGUCAUGGAUAUGACGCCACUUGUUAUCCUGUUAACAGCCACUCCCAUACUAACUCCUUGCGCGCGUAGCUUCAGCGGGAAGAUCUCAGAGCUAUAAACCCAUGUUAUGGGCCCCAACCCAAUCGAGAAGAACGCAACGUUCAAUAACACCAUGGUGAUGCACAAUGCGAUGGCCCACGGGACCGUCUCCUUGUGAUUAUCGAUGAUCGUGAGGCCCACCCCGAGGCACGCGAGUGAAAAUAUCAUCCCAGCCACGCUGGACAAAAGCAACUUACGCCGCCCGAACCGAUCAAGGAAAAACGUGGCGACCAAGAUGGCAAUGGUCUUGACAAAUCCAACGCCCACGGUUGCAAGGAGCUUGUGGUCGUAAGAUUUGAUCCCCGCCUUCUGGAAGAUCCUGGGGCUGUACAGGACUACAGAGUCUAUGCCCGAAGCUUGUUCGAAGAAGUGGAUGCCGAGGGCUGCGAUCAAAAUGUGGCGAACGGCUGGCGUUGGGUGCACGAUCAAGUCUUUCCAUACGCCUUCACCAUGGCUUUUCUUCGUGACGGGAACAACGUCGUCGUCUAGCUCUUUGGCGAUGCCUGCGGCUUCUUUGAUGUCGUCUAGCCUCAACUGAGCCUCUUCCUUGGAGGCUGAGGUUUUGUCGAGGACGCGCUUGGCGUCCCCAAGUCGCCCUUGCAUGACGAGCCAACGCGGCGACUCUGGCAUGGCUAAGACGCCGAGGGCGAGAAUAAUGGCUGGAAGGGCGCCGAUGCCGAGCAUGAACCUCCAAGCGAGGUGAGCUGGGAGCUUGGAGAAGGCGUAGUUGGAGACGUACCCCAAUAGUAUGCCAAUAUUGACGAACACCUGUACAUAUGUAUCCAAAUCAAAGAAAUUAGUAUAAAUUCCACACCUAUAAACCACAGAAAGUCAUAAAACACUUGCCAAAAAACCUCAUAAAACACUUGCCAAAAAAACUCGUACAACCCGUUCACCUAAUCUCUUUAAUAAAUCUCACGUUGUCAAAAGUGGUUUCCAACCACAUCCACAUCCACAUCCAAAAGUACAAAAUCAAAAUCAAAAUCAAACAAAGGGUAUAUGGUGGGGAGAACUGGAUAAACAUCAUCACAGGUAUCAAAAGCUUUCACAUGAUGUCUCCAAAAGCGCUUCCCAGAUUGUGUAAUGUGAUGAUAUCACAAGUGACGAAACAAACACUUCCUACUUUUGUUUCACAUGAAACCAGCUUAGUUUUGUUUCGGGCUCAAAAAAAAAAAGAGUAAAUAAACAAAUAAGGAAAGAAAACAAACCUCAGGGAAAGAUGUGAGGAAGCCACGGGACAAAGUCGGAGCGAUCUCGGCGGUGUAGACGGGAGAGAUCAUGAGACCGUAGCCAACACCGAUUCCGGCAACGAACCGGCCGAACAUAAGGAAGCCGUAGCCAGGGGCGACUCCCAUGAGGAUAGCUCCGACGAAGAAGAUGGCUCCGGAGAGGACGACGGUGUACCGGCGCCCGAUCCAAUCGGAGGUUCUGCCGGCCAAGCCGGAGCCGACGAGAGAGUAGAUGUUCAAUGUGCCUGUAAGUAUUUGAAUCUGGACGUCGUUGAUUUUGAGGUCAUCUUGGAUGAAGAGGUUCGCCCCACUCAUCACACCAAUAUCUGUAAACAAAAGUGACCACACUCAGCUCAUACACUCCAAAACCAACAAUUUUUUUCUUGCAGAAUUAAGAUUAAAAAAAGUAAGAGAAAACGAUUUCGAGUGCUAAUAGGAUAAUUACCGUAGCCCAGUAAAAUUGAUGUCAUGCAAGCCAAAAUGGAGCAGGCAAUGGCGAAUUUGUUUCUCUUGGGUUUCUGUGGCGGAUCAAAGUCUGCUAUUACUGUGUUCUUGGGUUGGCCGGAGAUGGCCUUGUCUUCAGCUAUCGGGUCAGCCAUCUCGAUCUAGACAGAGGUAGGGAGAGAGAGAGAGAGAGAGAGAGAGAGAGAGAGAGAGAAGUAUCAGAGAGUGAGCAGCGACAGGUAGAGAGUUAGGGAGGAAUAGAAUAUAAUUCAUUCAAUAUAUAAGCAAUCUCUUCCUUAAAGUAGUAUUAAUUAUUGUAAAGGGAUUUAUCCGUAUGCCAGUGUUGGUGUUCUUUUGGGAUACAAAUACUGGAUUGGAUAUGGACGAUAAGGAUUUAUCCAAAAAUAAAUUCAAAUAAAUGCGGGACUCAAAUGGUAAAACGUUCUCAAGGGGUUAACGUAUCCAAGCGGAUCCUAAGAAGUAAAUAUAUAUUAUCUUUACAUGGUAAGAGUUAUUACCUAACAGAAAUUGUUCUUUUGAGAGAAAUAAUACUGUUCCCUUCUUAGACUUGGAUAUGUAUUACCGUAGGAGGAAUACUAACAACUUUCUCUCUAACCUUCUUAGACUUGGAUAAAUAUUAAUUUUCCUCAUGACAUGUGUCAUUUUCCUUGCACUUAAAAUAAUGUCAUCAAUCAAUAAUCACACAAGCUAAUUUUUAUUUUCCAAAUUAACCCUUAUUAUAUAUAUUACAACAAGCUAGUAUUUUAACAACCUUCUUUUCACCUUAUUAAAAAAUUAAAUAAGAAAAAAAAAUACUGUUUGAUUUUUGUUUUUCCAAAGAAUACAUAUGUCGCUAAUAGAACCUUCAGUCCUUGCAUAAUUUUCUUUCCACUAAAUAAAAAAAUUAAAUAAGAAAAAACGCAGGUUUUUUUUUUUUUUUUUAAUAUAAAAAAGUAUGUUUUUAGUUUUCCAAAGGAUACAGACUUAAUAAUAAAUUUUUAUCCUAGCAUAGCAUGGACUUCUUUUGUAACUUAGAAAAAAAAAUUAUCACUGAAUAAAAGAAAAACACAUUUUUAUAAAUAAAAAAAAGAAGACCUUUUUUCUUUUAAAUUUAUAUUUAAAAAGAUGGUAAGAAAGUUGUAAAAAAAAAAAAAACUCAAUACAUUUAAUAAGGAUAAACUUGGAAAACAAAAUUUUGCUUGUGUAAUGCAUUUAUGACAUUAUUUUAAGUGUAUGAAAAGUGACACAUGUCAUGAGUAAAAGGAAAAAGGUCCAAAGGAGAAGGUUAGAGAGAAAGUUACUAGCCCAUUUUGGGUUUAUCUUAUAGAUUGAUAUUGAGAUAUUUGAGAUGCAAAAACUUGCAUUGGACAUGGAGAUGAUUAUUGAGAAAAUCUCGAAUUUUGGGUAUGUGGUAUGGUGGUAAUGUAUUGGCAUUAAUCUUUUAAGGGGUUGUUUGGUAUGACAGACUAUCAUGGAUUGAUUAAAUCCUCGGACUCUCUUGGAUUAGCUCGGAUUGGCCUAAGUAGGAUUAAGUACUGACAUACCUUUGGUAUUGCGUCGGACUAAGAAGCUAGAUUGUAAAAAUAGUGAAGAUCUAUAUUUGGUGUUGUGUUGGACUAAAAAAUAAGUAUUUUAAUAUUUAAUUUUAAUUAAGAAUUUUGACCUAAAAAUAAAUAAAAAGAAAACAAAUAAAAUUCUAAUAUUUAAUUUUAAUUAAAAUUUUGACAUAAAAAAAAUAAAAUAAAGAAAAUUCUAAUAUUUUUUAAAGGCUAAAACUUAUCUCUUUUUCUUUAUUCCUCUUCACUUCUUUGUCUUUUCUUCUUCCUUUCCUUCCCUAGCCCGCUUCUUUUUUUAUUUUAUUUAUUUUUUCCUUUUUUCUUCUGCCUUUCCUGUUUUAUUUUUUCUUUCCUUUCUCUUUUCUUCUUCCUUACUUCCUUUUCACUCUAUCUUCAUGCCGCACUAUUUAAGAUUUCGUCUGGAAUUUUUUUUGCAGCCACCACAUACCCAUAAGUGGAUUUGGCUCUCUUUAAAGUUGGGGUGCGGAGGCCACGAGCCCCCCAGGAUGAGGAUGAUUUCUCACUCGACCAGAUUGGGGGCAGAUCCAAUCGAACCAUCAACCCAGAAGCGUGUGGUGGCUAGUUAUGAGUUUGAUGAUGGUGGUCAGACGGUCAUGGACUCGUGGUGGUGGUGGUCGGGCUCGCAUGUUUCACAGUGGUGGUGGUAUCCACAGGACUUGUGUGUUCAAAAUAGCACCCUUGCUAUUUUGCGAACUACGUUUCGAGCUCGCUGUAUUAGACAAGCGAGUCCAAUAUUUUUUUUCCCCCAUUUGGACUAUACAAUCCCAUUUAAACUAAUCAUCUCCCUUAACAAACAUGGAUUUCAAGUACUAUUUAACCCAAUCAUAUCCAGUGAAGCAUAGUAAGGCAUGCCAAACAUGGCUUAAGUUUGUAUUGUUUCUAGACUCUAUUUAGUGAAGGUAUGGAAAUCUACACGAUUUCAAGUUGAGUGAUACUAAACGAACCCUAAAAUUAACUUAGUACACCAUACUAUCAAACUAUUUAUUGAAUUACUAAUUUACCCUAAUAUAAAAUGACCAAAAAGGAUAUAUUGAAUUGUGAAGCAAAUGUAAUUUUAAUAAGUCACCUUACUCACCAUAUUCAACCCUAAUAUUCAAUGGAGGCAACAUUGAACGCUAUGAAUCCAACACAAACCCACCACCACCGUCCCUCCCUUUCUCUUUCUCUCUCUCUCUCUCUCUCUCUCUCUCUCUCUCUCUCUCUCUCUCUCUCUAUCAAAAAAUAUUACUCCCCCCAACAUCCAACCACACAAAAAAAUAUAUACAUAUAGAUAUGCAGAUAACACACACACCCACGCAGGCACGCGCGCGCAGAGAGNNNNNNNNNNNNNNNNNNNNNNNNNNNNNNNNNNNNNNNNNNNNNNNNNNNNNNNNNNNNNNNNNNNNNNNNNNNNNNNNNNNNNNNNNNNNNNNNNNNNUGGUGGGUUUCAAGGUGGGCAUUAUUCCCAAACGGGCUUUUAAACUUGCCCACCUAGGAACUCUAGCUCUUCACCCUCUGAUGAAUGUAAUGACAAUUAUGUUUGCUGUUUGCACCUUGGGGGUUGGAUUGGCAACCCUUAACAGUUUAAGAAACAAACCCACUUUGGAAUUUUCUUUCUUCCACUAGUUGAAGGGAGAUGGGUUGUGUUAAUUAGAGAGAGAGAGAGAGAGAGAGAGAGAGAGGCGGUGGUGGUAGGGGUGGGUUGGAUGCGAGAGGGCUUAAGUCGGAGGAGGAAGGACGAGGUUGGCUGGGUGGGGGUGGGGGGGGGGGAGGAGAGGGGAUGAUGGGAUGUCGAUUUAACAGGGUUAAGUGUUGUUAAGUGGUUUGCCACAUGUCAAAAAAAUAGAAGGGAAACAUGUCGGGCACAUGGCAUUUGGUAACAGUAAAAUUGGGCUCAUGAAUGGGUUAGGUGUUGUGUGAUAAAGUGUAUUAGGGUGUACCAUGGAUAUUUUUGGUAGUUAAUACGAUGUACUGAGUUAACUUUAUAAUUUGAUUUAAAUAUUAGGGUGUACUUAGAUCAUAGGGUGUACUCAAUUAAUUUUAGGGUUUGUUUAGCAACACUAUUUCAAGUUAUGUAUGCAUGUGAUGUGAAAAAAUAAAAGAAGAUAUGUGUGAAUAUGGGAUUCUCUUGAUUCGAGGCCUUUGUUUUAUUUUUUAUUUUUUUGAUUACAAGGAGGGCCGAAGCCCAAGAAAAACCAGGAAAAAAUAAAAAAACAUUGUUACAAGCGUAGCAGUGGUCAUCCUAAGCCUAACAGAAUAAUUUGCCAAGAGGCUUGCAAUAGAAGGAGGGGAAAAUGUUAUAGGAUGAUAUAAGGCUUAAAUGUUUAAACGUUCAACUAAGUAAAUGCAUUCAGGGGAGAACUUUUCCAUCUGGAACUAUGAUAUAGGGCUUUUGUCACUCAAACCAAAGUAUCCGUACUACAACGAAUAAAACAAAGAAAUGCACGAUAAAUUGUACCCCAAAAAGCCCAUGAUAAAUGACAAACCAACCCCACAUCUCCGUAAAACAAAGCCCCCCACACCUCCGACAAAGCACAAUGCCCACCCAAACUCUCAUCUUAAGUGGAGUAGGUUCCAAUCAUUUUCAUGGGCUCCACAUCCUACAGGUUCUGUGGAUUUAGUGACAAUUUGUGUCACGGGCUUGCACCUUCUAAUUAGAGUGAGCAUCUUCGAUGGAGUAGGCAAACCUUAUUUGUUUAGACAAAAAUGUAUUUUUAUUUAGUAUCAUAAUGUGAUGACUUAGUCAUAAUUAAAUAUCGAACUUAUUAUAAAUAUCAUUCUUGCAUUGUCGGAUGUUGGGAUUUCUCCGCCUUGAAUUAAUAUCCUUUAGAUUAUAGAAGUUAAACUCUCUCAAAACCCGCAGCAAUUGAAUCAAGACACGUAUCCAUUAUUUAAGUUUAAAAGACAUGUAUCGUCAUGCAAGAAGAAUUGUAUGUAUUGACUAGGAGAACUGAGCUACUAGCUAAGUUCAAAAGGCAUCGAUCGCCACAAGAAGAGUUGAAUUUUUGGGUCCAAGGAUAUAUUGAAUUACUAUGGGCCAGUUUGGUAUUCAAUUUGAAUACAACUUUUUAAAUUCAAAAAUAGAAUUUGAAUCCAACAGACACUUAGUAAACUUAUAAAAUUAAAAUAAAAUAAAAUAAAAUCUGUUUUUUAAGUUUUUUUUUUUCCUAACAACGCAUAAGUUCUCAAAUUUGUAAGAUUUGAAAACAGUUUUCAAGUUGCAUACCAAACAAGUUUUGAAUCUUAAAAAUAAAUUUAAGAACUCCUUGUUUUUAAGAAAAGUCAAAGUUUUUAAGUUCUCUAUUUGAAUAGGAUACCAAAUGCCCCCUAAUAUAUUUGACUCAUUUGUGUCAAUAAUUUGAAAAGGCUAGCGUAGGAGAGAGAAAGGCUAUAAAGGAAAAUCUUAUAUGAAAGGGAAAUUCACUAUUAUAGCCAAUAUAGGAGCCCAAAUAUAAAAAAAUCUUAUAUGAAAUGGACUUUAGAAACACAUCCAAAACUCAUUUACAGCAUAACAAAAAGGCUUUUAACUUAUUUUGAUUACAAAACUGCCAUUGAUUUCUUAAACAACCCAACUCUAAACUCGUAAAAAUCCAAUACUCAUAGGCAUCAAGUAUGUAUUUAAUAAUCAAAAUUAAAUUCAAUAGGGUUAGCUGUCAUUUUUCGGGUUUUUUUUAUAUAGAAAUUAAAUGAUAUAAAAUUUAUCUAUAUUAUUAAUGCUAAGAAUAAGCAUAUGACUAAAUAUCUCAAGAAAAAAAUGGCAGAGAAGUUGGAAAUUGGAUAGAUCAUUAUUGGCUAUGAUGCCUGUAAACGUGCAACUUUGAUUAGUCUUCCUUUUGUUUUUAUUGUUCUUUGCCCUAUAGUCAUCAACGUUGAUUUUGUUUUGGUCAACCAUCAUGCUUUGAUUAAUUUGUCGAAUCAUAAACUAGAUUCCCAGUUUAAUCAAGAAAAUUACUAUUCGACCUUUUCUUUUUGUUUUUAGUUGAUUCAAAAAUGGAGACUUAUAAACUAAAUCAACAUUUUCUUGAAUAACAUGCUUAGAGAAUCCUCUUCAUCAUUCUUGUAAUUAGGAAAUCAAAUUAAUUAUAUAUUUAAGUAGACGAUUUGCUUAGAUUCACUUCUUUUGUUUUGUUUUUGUUUUUUGAGAGAAAAGCCAUAAUUGUAUUCAUCAAUUAGCUAGGCACAAAGAUCAUAAGUCACAAGGGCAAAUACAAAUGCCCACAAAGGGAUAAUACGAAUAUGGAAACAUAGUAACCACAUCAGGUUAAUCCAGAUACAUGCCACAAAAGGCCAGAGAAGGCAUAAAAGCCACAUGCCUGAAUAAACAAGACAUGAAUCACAACACUCAAAUCUACCAAUACAAUUAUAACUUUGGCUUAAUAUCACCAAAUGUCCCUAAGGUUUACGAAACUAUCAGAUUACAUCCUUAAUAAUUUUUUUGGUAAUUCGUGGUCCUCAAGAUUAGUAUGUAUGCUCACCAAUGGUCCCUGCUGUUAGGUUCCGUCAAAAACUCCGUUAGUUUGCUGAUGUGACAUAUAUGUUUAUAACAAAACAUCCCUAAAGUUCACGCACCUAUCACAAAUGGUCCUUGCGAAAUUAUUAAAUUAUUUUUUUAAAAAGAAAACCAAAAUUUUAUGAAUUUUAAAGGAAAAAAUUUCGCUGGGACCAUUUGUGAUAGGUGUGUGAACCUCAGGGAUGUUCUGUGAUAUAUAUAUAUAUAUAUAUAUACCAUGUCAGCAAACUAAUGACAGAGACCAUUUGUGAGGAGCACACAUACUAACCUUGAGGACCACGAAUGACAAAAAAAAAAAAAAAAAAAAUUAAAGAUGCAAUAUGAUAGUUUCGUAAACCUUAGGGACGUUUUGUGAUAUUAAACCUUAUAACUUUUAACUCUCACAAGUACAAAAUACAAGUAGAGACUAGAAAAUUAUCCAAAACCCAACUCACAAAAUAGAUGCAAUUAUUACAAAAUAAGAAAAUUGAAACAAACAACCAAAAACCAACAAAACCAAUACCACGUGCACCGUUAUUGCCACCGUCAUCACAGACGCCGUCGCUGCUUAGAUUCACUUCUUAAUGUUCAUAUGUACUAGAGUCAUAAAUUAAUAUCUCACUCAUGUAUUCUUGUAUUAAUUAAUAAUCAAAACUUGAGAGAAUAGUUGGUGUCUCUCUAGUAUUAUUGCAAGCUCGGUACUAGACAACUCUCUUAUAUUGUCUUGAUUGAAAUCAACACUAUGCAGUAAAAAAAAUUCAUCAGCAUUGUGAAUGAUGUUGUAGCAAGUACUUCUAUAAACGUUUAUGUUAAAAGUGUUGUAAAAUAACUGGGAUAUGUGCGAAUAUUGAGUUGCACGUAAAGUAGAUGAGACACAGUAUUUAACGAAGUUCGGCUAUGCCUACGUCCCCGGAGAGCAGCAGUAGUAACUUUUCCACUAUGUAAAAUAAUAGGGCUACAACUUUAGUGUUUACAAUAAGUAUGGCUCACUCAAUUUUCUCUCUUGGAGAAUUUCUCUCUUGCUCUCUUUCCUCUCAACUCACUCACCCUCUUUCUUCCUUCUCUUCCUUUCUUUCUUUCCUCACUCAUUCUUUUCUUCAUUUUUGGUGUGUCUUACAAGUGAAUGAGCAAGCCUAUUUAUAGGCAAAGUAAAAGGCUUCUAAUGGAGACAUAAUGAUUUCUCCCCAACAUUAUAAUUUCAUCUUUUGACUAAUCAUCCCACUUCUAACACCAUCAUUUCUUCUUUUGACUACCAUACUCAACACCAUCAUUUUUCUUCCAUCAUUUCUCUUUAUGUGGGCUUCACCAAUAUUAUUUACAACAAAAAGCACAUUUUUUUUAAAUAUUAAAAAUCCAAACACAUGGUAGGUACUUCUUCGAAUGUACCAAAAACUACUUUUAAAGCAUUUCCAGACAAACUUUAAAUGUGUUUCAUUUGGCUCCAUACAUUGUUCUUCCUCGUGGAGCCCUUUAAUGAAUAUAAUCAUCAUGUCAGCCGAGAAUAUAAUUAGGUUAAACGAAUGACAAUUUAAUUUGCUAAAUUCUGAUUCCAAUAGAUAAGGAAUCUUAUUUGAUUUAACCCGUGUAAUAAGUUCCUUUUCUUUUGCCUUUCCAUAUUCCUCACGAAUAAUAUAAAGAAAUGAUUGAUUUGAUUUUUAUCAGAAAGAAUCAACAUAGCCAACAUAGUCAUAAACAAUAAAGCGAGAGUCAAUAAUUUGUUUGUAAAAUGAUGUGACAAUAUAUCACCUAAUGGGAAUAAGUGAGUCAAAAAGUGAAUGACGUAAAUAAUUGGGUGAAUAAAUAUGGUGUCCAAAUGGUUAAAAAGAAAAACAAAAUGUUGUCCUUGUAGUGCUCUAAAACAGAUUGUGGAAGAUGAGGUAAACGAACAUCAGUCCUUUCUUCUUUUUAAAUUUCUUUGCACAAAUUUGAGCACCGAACAGGCAAAAUUCCAUGGUAAUGACAAAACAAAUAUGGUUGCUUCUGGCAAGGGAAAGGAACAAUUAAACAAAGCAUAUACCUUCCUGAUCAAUCUUUCUGCUCUCCACACAUCUGCAGCUACGUGCCAUCCAUGCAUCCAAAAUUCCAUUUCACAAAUUGGCGAGAAAAUCAUUUAGAACACACACGUUUGUGAAACAUUUGACUCUCUCUCUCUCUCUCUCUCUCUCUCUCUCUCUCUCUCUCUCUCUCUCUUUCUAACUUGUCAAUUUUCAACAUAAUUCAUCAUUGCUAGAAAUAAUCUUAGUACAUAUAGAAUCAAGCAGAACUCAGAUGUUUCAUAAUAUGAAAACUUCAACAAAUUUAUAGAGCUGCUUUGAUCUCUUAGAAUUGCCAGAAUAGCUCUCAGAUGAUUCAUAAUCAAGCAGAACAUGUAUUGAAGUACAGCCCCAAAUCAGCAAUCGUCAAUCCAGUCACUUCCAGCCCCGUCCAGACUGAAGAGUUCUCAAUUCUGCCUAUUCAGCAAGCCUCUGAAUGGCUAAAAUAGAUUAAAGCUCUGCCAAUCUCAACAUUUGUAUCGAUUUCCCGCUGAACCUCAUCAGUUGAAGGUGCUGACAUUUGAAUCCAGCACAGAUAUAUCCAGUCCAGCCAUAAUCACUGACAACAAUCCAAGAAGAAAUCGAAGCCCAAUGUUCUGAUGUCCUUUCAGACAUAACAGUUCCCUUUUGUUUUGAAUUGUGCAAUAGGCAGUUCUCUUUAAAACAGUUUGAUUUAUUUUCAAUAUUCAUUUUGGCAAGAACUACUAGUUUUUACUAUGAGAAAUUGUGAAGUUCUCACCAGUCUAAGGCAAAAAAAGAACUUACUUGUGAGAUAUUCCUCACCCAAAUUCACAAUCACUUGUUUAAAGUCAGUAACUUGGGGCGCAAGUUAUCUAUUUUUCACAAGUCUGUUAGGGUCUUGACUGCUAACAAUGGCAUGCUCGCACACCAAAGAAAGUUGACUUGUUGACCACAAAGAAUUUUCGAGCAAAUGAGAAAUUUUACCCUACCAUCACAAGAACUAAAUCAAAGCGGCUGAACAAAUACCCUUCAACUUUCUCUCAAACUCUAUCCCUUUUUAAUCAAUUGUUUUUGGGCAUGUUAGCAUUUUUGCUCUCCUAUUUAAGUUACUAUCCUAACCUUUUAUUUCAAUUGUUAUUUGUUAAUUAUUUAAUUUUAUUUAAUCUUUCAAAUGUCACAAAGAAACUUGGGGCAUUUGCAUUUCCAUCCUUUGAUCAAAUGAGUUUUCUGACUAACCCUAGGUGUUAGAUUAGCUUUCCGUGGAUUAUGUACAUUAUUAUUAUUAUCCACAUACAUACAAUGUGCCUACAAUCAACCUAAGAAUUUGCCUGUGAUGCAUGUAACUGCAUCCGAGCCCACUUUGCAUUGCUUCACCUUCCAUCACCGUAGAAUAGUUGAUCACUCCGUCAUUUGUGUCACAAUCAUUUGAAGAAGUCAAAACCAACACAAUCAAUAUAAGUUUACGACCGCGAAAUGAAAUGCCUUGCAAUGCACACAUUCGAAUGGAAGUGAUUGUUCUUGAUUUCUCGACCUAAUCGUCAUGUCAGCAAAGAAUAUAGUUAGACUAAACGAAUUGACAAUUUAAUUUUCUAAAUUUCGAUUCCAAUAGAUGAGAAAUCCUUGAUUGAACCUGUAUAAUAAGUUCCUUUUCUUUUAUCUUUCCAUAUUCCUCACGAAUAAUAUUAAAAAAUGAUUAAUUUGAUUUUUAUCAGAAAGAAUCAACAUAGUAAUAUAGCCAUAAACUAUAAAGCUAGAGUCAAUAAUUUAUUUGUCAAACGGUAUCACUUAAUGGGAAUAAGUGAGUCAAAAAGUGAGCCAAAUGGAUAAAAAGAAAAACAAAAUGUUGUCCUUGUAGUGCUCUAAAACAGAAUGUGGAAGAUGAGGUAAACGAACAUCAGUCCUUUCUUCUUUUUAAAUUUCUUUGCACAAAUUUGAGCACCGAACAGGUAAAAUUCCAUGGAAACCAUAAUGACAAAACAUAUAUGGUUGCGUCCGGCAAGUAAAUGGACAAUUGAACAAAGCAUACCUUCCUGAUCAAUCUUUCUGCUCUCCACACAUCUGCAGCUACGUGCCACCCAUGCAUCCAAAAUUCCAUUUCACAAAUUGGAGAGAAAAUCAUUUAGAACACAAACGUUUGGGAAACAUUUGAUUCUCUCUCUCUCUCUCUCUCUCUCUCUCUCUCUCUCUCUCUCUCUCUCUCCCACUAACUUGUCAAUUUUCAAAAAAAUUCAUCAUUGCUAGAAAUAAUCUUAGUACAGAUAGGGAUACGACAACAGCUAGCUGCAUGUGAAUCACACAUGAACUAGGGUUUUAUGUGGCUCAGAUCUUGACAGCAUACAAGUUUCCCGCGUUUUACAUAUAUGCUUUCUUGGUCCACCAUGAUCCUUAUUUUAUUUUCAAUUCAUUACCCAAUUAAUAAUACUUUUCAACUUAUUGUGAUUCUCAUAAUCUGCAUUAUUCUUAAUAAAUUAUUUUGUUUUCUGAUUAUUAUACAGUAUUACCCGAGUCAACUAAAAAGCUGAAACGAUCUGGAGAGAAUUAUUUUCGAAAAUAACUUUUCUAUAAUAAUUUUUCCGAAUCUAGUCCAAUAAUAUUAAGAACAAAAACUAGUUGCUAAUUGGCAUAACUCUCCUAGAGAGAUUAAGAAUAUCUAGCAAACUCAACUAAGUUUCUGGAAUCAUAAGAGAAAAGAAGAAAAAGAAAAAAAAAAAAGAAAAGAAGAAGAAAACUCAUAGAGUUUAUGUGCUAACAAAAUUAAUCAAAAUAAAAAACUAAAACAACGCCAAUAAAAGGAAAAUCAACUGCUACUAAUCUUCCUUCGAGACAUGACAUAGACAACACCACUUAGUUACUUUAGGGCCUCAACGCAAUAAUGAGCAGUGGAUCUACCAUGACCAAGCCGCAACACCUCAAAUAGCAGCCUCGCAAAAUAAGGCAUAGCCAAAAUCUAGAUAUGAAAUAAUAGAUCUGCUAAAGAAAAAGUAGAUUGACAUAAGUUCACCAAGAGCCGAAGAACACCGAAAAUCCAAAGAGAUCAGAAAAUCAGAAAAUCUCUCUCUUUUAGCGGCUAGGGUUUCUCUUCACACUAUGAUAUUAAUAAAUAUUGGUAUUGGUGAGAUUCUAUAUAUAUAUAUAUAUAUAUAUAUACACACAUCUGUAAAAUCCUAUUAUUAAUAUGAACGAUCCAUUUAAUUCUUCAAGGGAGAUUCCAUAUUGACCCGCAAGAUUUGCAUAGCAGGUUGAAUCUGUUGAAUUAAUGGGUCACAACAAAACCAACCAAUAAACUAGUUUAUCUAAGACAAAGAUGGAUCACCACCAGAAAUCAUUAGAAAACUAUCAAUGUUAAACAAGUAUUUGAUUCAACGAAGCAGGUCACCAUGACUCAGCCCGUGCUCUCCUACCAUUUUCAACUGGAUCCAACUUUCAAUUUUGUCGAAUAUUGAAUAGUCCUUUCACAAUUCAAAGAUCUAAUUGGGGCAUUGGUGUUAACUCAGCCUCCUCUCUUUUCUUGCUCCAUUCCCAAGAAGGGGAGGGAAACUAAAAAGGGCAUCAACAACACGACACCACUACCCAAACUAAAAAUGUUAAUGGUUUUCAGUAGCAUCAUACUGAAGUUUGCAAAUAAAAAAAUAAAAUAAAAAAAAUAAGGGCAGAACCCCACUUUAUCAUUUCAAAAUUCAAAUGUCAAUAUUCAUCAAAGUGUUGUAAAGAAGAAUAAGUAAAGAAGAAUAGGUGAAGCCCACAUAGCCAACUAACACCCACCAAACCUAACCACACACCCACCAAACCAAACCACUACCCAAUUGAUUGAAGAAUAUUAAUGAUGUUGUUGAUUGAAGAAUAUUAAUGAUGUUGUUGAUUGAAGAAUAUUAAUGAUGUUGUCUACCAAUUAUAUUGUGAGGUGAACAACCAAUGUCUUAGGCCUAUAAAUAGAUACCUCUAUCAAGAGAAGUUUACACAUAUAGAAGAGGAAGAGAAGGAAGAAUAAGGGUGAGUGAGUUGAGAGGAAAGAGAGCAAGAGAGAAAUUCUCCAAGAGAGAAAAUUGAGUGAGCCAUACAUAUUGUAAACACAAAGUUGUAGCCCUAUUAUUUUACAUAGUGGAAAAGUUACUGCUGCUGCUCUUCGGGGAUGUAGGCAUAGCCGAACCUCGUUAAAUACUGUGUCUCAUCUACUUUACGUGCAGCUCAAUAUUCGCACAUAUACCAGUUCAUUUUAUAACACAAAGAUGGUAUUUCGCUUGAAUAUAGAUGGACUUUAUGGGUUGGGUUAGUGGCUUGCUACUUUGAUUUUUGUAUUUUGUUCAGUGAAUUUAAUUAAAAUAAUUUGGUGUGAGAAUUUAUAAGCUAAAAGUUUUGAGGUUUAUCUAUCUUCGAUCUCAUGAUCAGGGACAGACUCAGGGUUUGAAAAUAGAAUAGGCUAAAUUUAUCUUACAUACAAACCUAAAACACUUGACGGAACUAGUGAAUUUCAUUGAAGUAUGAAUUUUAAGGUCAAUUAGCAAUUACACAAUAAACUUCUCCAUGAAAGGAACAUAAUUGAAAAUAUUUAUUAUCCAUUACAAAAGAAGAAGAAAAAAAAAACUGAACCAUUUUAAUCCAUCAAAGCCAACUUGGAAAGUAAAAAUGAGAAGAAGCAGCCAAAAUUUAUAAGAAAAAAAUGAAUUGACGUUUUAUGUACACUAUAAAAGGUAAAAAAAAAAAAAAUUUGGACAGAAAAUGUAAAGGAUGUUCUCUCGGAAUGUGUGUUUUCUGAAAAAGGCUGAGUAAUAAAUAUUAAUUAACUAAAGAAAAAAGAAGAAGAGAUUUUCUAUGGGUGGGAUCACUGGGAUGAGGUGUAUGGAGGUGUGCUUUGAUGGCUUAGUGUAUUGGACUAUAAAAUAUCAAGUCGCCCAAGUGGAUGUAGGACCAUCCCUGCUCAUGAUUCGAGCCUUUUUUAGGUUGAUGUAGCGUGGUUAGAGUAUCCACAGUGUUGGGGGGGAUGUAUUUUCGGGGGUGUAAAACUACUUUUACAUCCCCUUUACACCUCUGGGGGUUGUAAAUAUGGUUUUUGCUCUAAUGAGGAAGAUGUAAAUCUAAAGAUGUAUAAUUGAAUUUUUUUUUUUUUUGGUCUUAAUUCGUUUUUGUGUUAAAAUUUUAUUUUGUGUUAACUUUAUACAUAAUUUUGUGUGUAUUAGGUUUAUUUUAUUUUUUUCAAAUAAAUAGACCUAAAAAUAUUUAAAUUUGGAGAAGAUAUGAUUUCAUCCAUAGAAAAAUUAUCAGAAGAACAAGCUACUAAAUAUAUAUAUAUUACCUAUUGAUUAAUUGAUUAAUUAUGAGUUUCACUGUAGAAGCGUAAUCAGCAACAAUGAAUUAUUUUAUUUUAUGUGGUUACAAAUUAAGUAUGAAGUUUUGUCUAGCAACUACUCUAGCCACGCGUCUUGGGCAAGUAUCUUUAUAUUCUGCCUUUUUGCUCACUUUUGUCUAUCUUUUUUCAUAUUUUUUCAUGUAGGCCCCAUCUGUAAGGGAUGUAAAAAAGGAUGCACAUGUGCAUAUAAAUUUGUAUCUCACGGAUGUUAUGCAUUUUUACAAUCAUUUACACCUGCCCAUUACAGGUGAUUUCGAUCAUAAAUGGUAUAUAUUUAACAUAUACCUCAUUAUACAACCCCUCACUAGAGAUGCUCUUAAUAAUUGUAUUAAGAAAGAUGAGUGUCUAAUAAAACUCACCACGUACUUAUCAAGAUAGGUGGAAGACCAUCCUAAAUAGGGGCAUGAAGAAGAUCUUCUCCAGUUUUCUUAAUUAUGAACAAAACUUUCUUAAAAGGGCGAGAAAAUAAAGAAGUGAACCAAGUGGAAAUGCAUGCAUGUACUGUUUACAAGGUGGCCAAAAAAAAGGAUAGACUAAGGUGGGCGGUUGGAUAAGCACUGGGCAGGCAAUUUAUGUUCAUAGUGGUCAAUGUGGAUAACUGGCUAACUGAUAAGUGUUUACUACUGUUAAUUGUCUCGAAUGGAGGAGAAAGAGAGGAGGGCCUUUUGGAUUGUGUAUUUGGACAAUUUCAAAAAGGGGUUAACGACCAAUAUUAUGACUUCAGAUUUUGCCUCUAUUACUUUACUUGUUCAUACAACACAUGUGCGGCGCCUAAUAUUAUGACUUCUGAUUUUGCCUCAUCUAAAUCUUGGGGCCAAUAUUCUCUAAGAUGACUCACGAGCUCUUUUUUUUUUCUUUGUUCUUUUAAGUAUUGGAGGACUACGUGUGAUUCAAAUUUGGGUCCUCUAAAUUUUAUGAUAAGCUCAUUUCUCAUGAUACAUCUAAUAAAGGACUAACUAACUAUAUAUAUAGUAACAGGUUUAGGAGUGAUUUUGGAAUGCCCUUUAUUUUAAUAAAAAACGCUUUUGAUAACGUUUGAUAGAAAUAUUUAAAAGUACCUAUAGGUCAUAGCACCUACUUCACAUAGCAGAUGUUGCUCUAGAAAGUACUUGGAUUUCUUAUAAAUUUUUUAAAAUAAAAGUGAAUAUGAGUAGAAGUGCUUCUUAAAAUAACAGUUUCAAACUGAUCCUAAAACAUGUUGUCAAAGAAUGAAGAGCCUUGCCAUUCAUGCUAAAAAAUUUACUCACUAUACUCGACGAAGAUGUAUGAGAUGAGGACAACAAUGAUAAUUUUAUUUUUGACAUUUUUGAAAUUUUUUUAAUACUACUUGUGAAGUUUUCAGAAACAUCAAUGAAAGGGUCAAAAUUGAAAAGCUGGGAAAAUUUUCAGAUGCUAUGCUAGGGUGUAGUGAUCAAAUUUGUCCAGCUCAAGACUGGAACGACAGCAAACUUAUCCCAUACAUAUAAAUACAGUUCAGCCCAAUCUCGUCAAGGCCAUUAUCAACCUUAUGGGCUUCAACUAAAACUACCCAUUAGGAUUUUGAUCAGAGCAAAAGUCCAAGAACAAAUAUGUCUCCGUGAAGUCUUACUGAGGGCAGGAUUCAGAAGCUGUACAUGUAAACAAGACGACGACAAUGGAGAAGAGAGCACGGAGGCAAUUGGAUUGUAUUUCUCGUCACCUUGUAUUACCACCUCAAGCUAAUCAUGGUCUGCAGCAGGUGAGAUUGAUUCAUCCACAAUCUUUUUCCAUUUUUCUUCUUUUAUUUUUUGUUGGGUUAUCUUUUGCACUAUGCACUGAGAAGCUUGGUGGAAAAGGAAAAGAUGUUGUAUUUGAUGAAGUUUGAGUUUUUAACUACUGCAAGGUGCUGUUAUUAAGUAAUGGGCAAGUGAAGAGUGAGGAGGCAGAGCCUGUGGUGCUGUUAUUACUGCUUUCCAGCCUCCACAACCACAAGUGCCAUGCUUGAGCAUCGUGUUGGCUUGUCUCCACCUAUGGUAUUUACCGAAAAAAGAGCUCCAUUUCUUCUAGGGUUUUGCCCUGUGUUUCGGGGAGCAUUGUAUAGAAAAAGACUCAACUCGAUGCUCCAAUUCCCGCUUAACGAAAGAAGGCCCCACCAAUCGUGAUGACAAACAUACAACAGUCGUAUUGUACAUGUACGUAUGUAUUUUUAAUAUUUUAUACACGUAAUUUUUUCAAAAUUUUCAGUAAGACACACAAAAUUUCCGUAUUAUACAAAUAAUUCUCACAUAUUAUUGAAUAAGAAUAAUUUAUGUUAUAAAAAUUAUAUUAAAAUAUCAUAUAGUGAAAGAUUAAUAUCUACUUUGGAUAUGUUGAAACUAGCAAAUUAAUAUUUAUAAGGUACAAACUAAUGCAUCUAGGAGGGUCCUUUUUUAUUGUUUAUUUAUUUUUAUUAAAUAGUAUAGGCGGCGGCUACAUUGUUUUUGACACGUGGUGCCUAAUAGAUAGAGGGUCUUCUUUUUUUUAAAAUAAAAAAUUUGGUAUAAGUCCAAAAUCGAAAAUAGAAUUUGGAUGUCAUCCUCGUAGUUAUUGUUGUUGAUACAAGUCAUUUGACUUUUGUGCCACGUAUGAUUACAUUCUUUUUUUAUUUUUUGAUAUUUACAAAUUAUUUUUUUCAUUUUAAAGUUACUUAAUUAUUCCCAUCAUGCCCCUAAAAAUUAAAUAAGGUAAUUAACUUUUAUGAUAAUAAUUAUGAUAUUGUCUCCCCUAAACCAAUUCGGACUCUCUCACAGCCACAAUCUUUGCAACUUUCACCAACAAGUCAGUGGAGCCAAAUUCUUUUCCCAUUUAGCCCUCCAACUUCUCCAAGAAGUCAGCUAUCGUGAGUUUCAUUCGAAAUCAAAAUCCUUGUUUGAUUGAUUUUCUAAUUGGGUAUUUAUCAAGUUGCUUAUAAUUUGCAAGGUGAGGUAUGCAAAGCGAUAAGGUUGGAUAUUAGGUCUUUGUGGUUGUAAUUCUUUUGGGUUGAAUGGCUUACAAGCAGGGGCUUCUAUUCGAUUGGCAAAAGGUGAUAAGGUUGAGUGGGAUGUUUGAAAAGGCUUACACCAGAUACUAAAAUUCCAUGUAUGUUGGUUGUUUGUGAUCUGUCUUUAAUUACCUAGUAUUAAGGUAUAUUAUCUUAUAUUUACCUAGUAAGUAGGUACAUUAUCUUAUACCUAUCUAAUAAUUAGGUAUAUUAUCUUAUAUUUACCUAGUAAUGAGGUACAUUAUCUUAUAUUUACCUAAUGUUUAGGUAUAUUAUCUUAUAUUUACCUAGUAAUUAGGGAUAUCUUAUAUUUACCUAGUAAUGAGGUAAAUAUUUGUUGGGAAGACAUCAUCAAUAAUACUCCUACUUUCAUUGUUUUAUAUGAACUUUUUUUUAUUUGUUCAUAUGCUUGAAUCCUCACAAAUCAACCUUAUGGAUAGGUACAAUUUCAUGUUGGUGCUUGCCUAUGGGUCUUAAUUUUCAUUGUAAGAUAAAAUAUAUGGGUCAUUAUUUUCAUGACUUAAAUUAUAUUUGAUCUAUAUAUUAGGUAAAUAUUGCAAUAGUUAAUUGUUAAAGUAUUUUACUUGACGAAAUGUUUUUUCUGUUGGUACAGAUGUGUAAUGGUGGCAAUAGAAGGAUUCAAAAUUUAAAAUAUGAAAUCCAUUUAGAAGGAAAGAAUCAAUACAUUAAUUUGGAUUUUUAAUUAAUGUUCUUUUCUUAUUUACCUCAAAAGGUAAAAUUGACACAAGAAAAAAAUUAAUAAAAGUCAAUGGACCCAAAUCUACAGCCAAAAAAGGUGUGGACUAAAUCCUAUUACGGCUAGAGAUUUUGGACUUAGAUCGAAGAAUCCCUUUUUUAAAAAACAAAAAAAUAGUAUAGCCGCACGGCUAUACUCCAUUUUUUAAAUUUAUUUACAAAAAAAAAUAGACUUGUGUUGACACAUGGCACCUAAUCGACGGGAUCUUCUUUUAUAUUUCCCUUUUAUAGUAUAGCCGCACGGCUAUCCUAUUUUACAUGUGGACGCCUUGGCGCUGGGCAUCUGCUAUACUCCAAUUUUUAAUUUUUUUAGUAAAUAGUAUAGCCGAACGGCUAGACUUCAUUUUUUAAUUUUUUUAAAAAAUAGUAUAGCCGCGCGGCGGUAUUGUUUUAAAAAUAAAAUUUGUCUUUAAUAAAUAGUAUAAACCAACGGCUAUAGUCUUUUAUAUAUAUGUACUUAUGUAUUUUUCAAUAAUAUAUUGGUGUUCUAUACAUGUCUCAUGUUUUUUGAAAAGCAAACAUACAAUAGUCAUAUUGUACAUGGAGUACGCACGGUAUACUCAAUGUUUUUUAAAUUUAUUUACAAAAAAAAUAGACUUGUGUUGACACAUGGCACCUAAUCGAUGGGAUCUUCUUUUAUAUUUCCCUUUUAUAGUAUAGCCGCACGGCUAUACUAUUUUACAUGUGGACGCCUUGGCGCUGGGCAUCUGCUAUGCUCCAUUUUUUAUUUUUUUUAGUAAAUAGUAUAGCCGAACGGCUAGACUUCAUUUUUAAUUUUUUUUUGAAAAACAGUAUAGCCGAGCGGCUGUACUGUUUUAAAAAUAAAAUUUGUCUUUAAUAAAUAGUAUAAACCAGCGGCUAUAGUCUUUUAUAUAUAUGUACUUACGUAUUUUUCAAUUAUAUAUUGGUGUUCUAUACAUGUCUCAUGUUUUUUGAAGAGCAAACAUACAAUAGUCAUAUUGUACAUGUACGUACGUAUUUCUAAUGUUUUAUAGACCUAAUUUUUAAAAAUUUUCAAUAAGACACACAAAAUUCACGUAUUAUAUAAAUAAUUCUAACAUAUUACUGAAUAAGAAUAACAUAUGUUGUAAAAAUGAUAUUAAAAUAUCAUAUAGUGAAAGAUUAAUAUCUACUUUGGAUAUGUUGAAACUAGCAAAUUAAUAUAUAUAAGGUACAAACUAAUGCAACUAGGAGGGUCCUUUUUUAAUUUUUUUUUUGAAUAACAAAAGCUUUGUUAUGUAUAUUAUCUUUCUUUUUAAGGAGGGGGGAGGAGUGAGGGGGUUGUGGCCAUGUGAACAGUUCAAACUUUAUGUUCAUUAAAAAAAAAAAAAAAAAAAAAACCAUGUUAUGACUGGAAAAUGUUGAUCGAUCAUGUUCAUUAGUACCAAGUUUGGUGAUGGCCUGAAAUGUUUUCACUAGGUAAUUUAUUUCAUAUAAAUAUCUUUGGAUGAAAGUUACUCAAGUAACUUUGGUCUUAGAUUUCUUAAACUAGUUUGCAGAUAAAUUUUAAUUUGAGUAGGUCAGACUUUUGGUUUUUUUUCACCAUAAUUCUUUUGUGUUCUGGUUUGUCAGGUAAUCUCCAAGACUUUGAUAUUGACAUUGACUUGAGUGUAACCUUGUGCACUUGAUAUCAUUGUUGUCACUUACAUGCAAAUCAUGCGAGCUUCCUCUUUUCCUUGCAUGCAACUCAAAAAUGGAUUUACAAAUGAGGUUUGCAGGUAUCAGUUUCGUUGUACUAUAAAUCCCCCUUAGAAGCUUUUCUUAACGUACGUCAUGCUGCGAUUGCCUGGCUCAAAACUUGGGUUCAACAAAUCUUUUACCGUUGCCGAAGGUUAAGGAGGAUAAAUCUUGCGUACAAUUCAUUUUUCACAUUGAAUCUCUGGCAUGACUAGCAUGGAACCAGCCUUUACUAGAAUUUCUCUAGCAUCAAGUCUCUUCCUCUUUUAAAUUAAAGCAAUUCUCUUUCAAAACCUUGUGCCUUGGUUGAAUUUGAAUUUCUGUUGUGAUGCUCUCACCUUGGAAACUCAAUGAGAUCCUGCAAUGGGCAGAUCAUAGUUCUCCUGAAGUAGGGUUUAUUAGCCAUAACUCUAUGGUUGAUCAAAAUGAUCAUCACACCCAGCAAAAACCAGAAAAUGGUUAACACACCCAUGCUAUGACAGCUACUAUGCUCCAACGGUCACAUAGGCAUAUUCAGCACAAGGACAAGCAUAUUCCUUGUUCUUAUCUGCUGAGUCAUCCUCAGGGGUCCUUGCCCUAGGGUUUUCUAUAUAGUCUCUUGUGUAUAUAUACACACCUUUUACCUCAAUUGUAAAUGUGAAGAGCCGCAGUCUUUCAUUGUCUGCUACAUUGAUUGUAACCCAUUAUCAAUAUUAAUAGAGUUAUAGACAUUGCUUUUCUCAACACCUACAGACCUUUUUCUUUCUCAGUAUGAAUUUUAUCAGGGUUUACGUCUUCCGUCUAUCUAACUUGCCUCAUUCCAAGCGCACCAAACAGAAUUGAACCUGCAACUCCACCUCACUUUGACCAGCUUACUACAAUAUGAAAAAGGACGCAUUUCUAGUAAGUUAUUAGUUACUUCUUUUUAGUUUCCGAUUCUAAUUAGGAAUUGAUUUACUUUCCUGAUUUUGGUUUAAUUUUACUUUAAAUCAUGGCUCUGCUCAUGUCAGAUAGAGCGAGGAAGGAGCAAUCACUAGUACGAUUUACUAUUUGCGCGACGAAAGUUUGCGCGACGAAUAUGUUUUCGUCGCGCAAACAACACUAUUGCGACGAAAAAAAAUUUGCGUCGCGCAAACAACAGAAAAAUAGCGCGACAAAAAUAUUCGUCGCUCAAACAAUCUAUGCGCGACCUAAAUUAAUUUCGUCGCGCAAAGGUAAUAGAAAAAAACCCGGGUUUUUUGGUUGGCGCCAAAAGCUUGCGCGACGACAAAAAUCGUCGCGCAUGAUAAUAUUGCGCGACAAAUACAAGCUUCGUCGCGUAAAGAUGGACAGAAAAUUGGCUCCUUUUUUUUGGCGGUAAAAAAAUUUGCGCGACGAGAGUUUUCGUCUCAAAAGACAACUUAGCGCGACGAAAAAAUGUACCGUCGCGUAAGAAAACGAGGGAUACUUUUUUUUGGCGCCAAAAUGAAGGGCGGAUAAAAUUUUGUUUGCGCGACGGAUUUUCUUCGUCGCGAAAAGUUUAAUGCCGGUGAGUUCUUGCGCGACGGAAUUUUAACCUUGCGCGACGAAAGAUAUAAUUUGCGCGACGAAUGUUUGUGCGACGAAUAGUAUUCUUCGUCGCGCAAAAAAACAGAUGUCGGCACGUAUUUGCGCGACGGAAAUGUUAUUUUGUGCGACGAAAAAGUGUCCUUUUGCGACGGCAGUUUGCGCGACGAAUUCAAUUAUUCGUCGUGCAAAGUCCUUCUUCUUCAUAUUAGUAUCUGCCAUUGCAGAGGCAGAAUGCAGAAAUUGCAUUCUGCCUCUCUCUCCUCUCUCUCACUCCUCCUGCCGCUGUUCUGCUGUCAAUUCAGUACGUUCAUUGGGUAUGUAUUUUUUGUCGUUAGUUUAAAUGUAUUAAUGUAAAUUCGUACUAACGCUAUUAAUUUUGUUCUCGUUAGGGAUAUCUGUGAUUAGUGGAGAACAAUUGAGAAGGUAUGUUAUUGUAAAAGUUUGUUUGUUAUGUUUGUAAUUUUUUUGUGAAGUUAUAUGUGUAUAAUGUUGUGAAAUUAUGCGUGACGUAGCACAAUGUAUUUGUGAUGUACGAAGUUAAUUGAAAUUAACUUCGUACUUUUAUUUUUAUGUUUAGUAACACGUAGUUUCCCGUUCGAGAUUAGUUGAAUUUCGUGCAUGGAUGCGUAAGGCAUGACUGCGGUCCAAUUAAUUCUUGAAUUGUCCCAUUAUUUGGACAGUUUGGUAAUGCAUAGUGUUGUCACAUAAUCUUCGGCUACAGGAUUAGGUUUCGAUUGUGGAGAUUUCGGUGUCAUCUCGGUACGUUCUUCGGGUGGUACGUAGGUAUUUAUACCUAUGCCCACUUCAAGAACUGUGUCGAGAUGCUGUCGAAAUUAAUCCACGUCGAAAUCUAAUCUCAUGUAGCCGUAGGUUACGUGACAGGACUAUGCAUUCCCGAAUGGGAUAGGGCCCUUACCGGAGGCAUAAGGUGACAUUAUAACUUCGUAUGAAGUUGUUGUGAUUGUUGUGUCGUGAUUGUGGUUUCAGGAAUUAUGAGCAGAAGGUGGAUACAGAACCCGAAUAGAUGCGCAGACGAAUACUUGGAUGGAAUCGAGGAUUUUAUUGAGUUUGCACGUAGACACAACCCGGGUGCAACUAGAAUCCGUUGCCCUUGUAGGAGGUGUAACAACACGUUGUGGGAGACAAUUGAAAAUGUUGGAUUUCAUUUAGUAAGGAAUGGAAUGAUUGAAACAUAUAGCAUUUGGAAUCUUCACGGCGAACAAGUAGACCAUGCUUCGUCUUCAAAUGCCCCAAGAGUGGACAAUGUUGAACCUAUUGUGGAUCCUAAUGAUCAAGUCAUGGGUAUUAUACAGGAUGCUUUUUCAUUCGCAUCGACCAACAUCAAUCAGGAAGGGGAAGAUGACAUGCCUACACCAAUAGACAGUGCGGAGUUUGAACAGUAUGAAAAACUGUUAAAAAAUGCCAACCAAGAGUUAUACCCGGGGUGCGAGAGCUUUUCCGUUCUCACUGCCAUUGUGGAGCAAAUGCACGGAAAAAUAAAGUAUCGUAUGUCGAACUUGUGUUUCGAUUACUUUUUGGGGGUUUUCAAGAGAAUGCUUCCGACGGACAAUUGUUUGCCGAAAGAUCAUAAACAUGCACAGAAGGUGUUGCAUGGUCUUGGAUUGGGUUAUGAAAAAAUCCACGCUUGCAAAAACAAUUGCAUGUUAUUCUACAAAGAGCAUGAAACGUUGGAUACAUGCCCUAUAUGCAAUGAGUCGAGGUUCAAAAUGACAUCCCAGAAUAGAACGACUAAGAUACCACAAAAAGUCAUGCGUUAUCUGCCCCUUAAACCUAGGUUGCAGCGAUUGUAUAUGUCGACGCAUACUGCCACAGACAUGAGAUGACAUAAGGAAAAACGGGUAGACGAUGAUGUGAUGCGGCAUCCUGCAGAUGGGGAGGCAUGGAAAGAGUUCGAUCGAACGUUCCCCGAGUUUGCUGCUGAUCCCCGAAAUGUUAGAUUGGGACUUGCCACUGACGGAUUCAAUCCGUAUGGGGUUCUAAACCAACACCACAGCACUUGGCCGAUUUUCGCAUUCCCAUAUAAUUUGCCGCCUUGGAAAUGCAUGAAAAAAGAAUACAUGAUGAUGACUGUUUUGAUAACUGAGGAUCCUGGCAGGUCAAUUGAUGUGUACUUAAGGCCUCUGGUUGAUGAGCUGAAGGAUUUAUGGACAAACGGUGUUCGCACGUACGAUAAAUCAACUGGGAGGAUGUUCACUUUACGAGCAGCAGUUAUGUGGAAUGUGAAUGAUUUUCCAGCAUAUGCAAUAGUUUCUGGGUGGAGCACAAAAGGUUAUAUGGCAUGUCCUGUAUGCAAGGAAGAUGUAACUUCUGGUUGGCACGCGGGAAAAGUUUGUUACCUUGGUCAUCGGAGAUGGUUGCCAUGGGACCACGAGUGGCGAGAAAAAGAUAAAGAGUUCGACGGGAACACAGAGCGUCGCCUCAGACCUAGAGAAUGGUCCGGUGAUGAGAUCUUGGAACAGCUGAACCGUUUGGAUUUUGCUCCGUUCGGGAAAACAGUUAGUCGGACCAGACCUUCUACACAUUUGAACUGGACGCACAAGCCUAUGUUUUUUGAGCUCCCAUAUUGGUCGAAACUGAAAUUGAGGCAUAAUCUAGAUGUGAUGCAUGUUGAGAAAAAUGUAUUCGACACAUUGGUGGGCACGAUUCUAGAUAUUGAUGGGAAGACGAAGGACACGAUCAAAGCUCGUCUUGAUUUGGAAAGAAUGGGCAUCCGAAGGGGUUUAUGGAUGAAUAGGGACAGUGAUAAAGCUAGAAGGGAUCUUGCAUUCUUCUCUAUGAAACCGAAUGACAAAAAAGAGUUUCUAAAGUUUGUAUCGUCUGUAAAGUUUUCUGAUGGGUAUGCUUCUAAUAUCGUCCGUUGCGUGAAUGUUGACGGGGGUAAAUUUACUGGACUUAAGAGCCAUGACUGCCAUGUGUUUAUGCAAUGCCUACUUCCUGUGGGUAUUCGACAUCUAUUGCCGGAAGAUGUUGUGAAGCCAAUCAUGUUGUUGUCCAGAUUUUUUUCCCAAUUGACGGCAAAAACAUUGCGAAAGACAGACAUAUUGCAGUUGCGCCAUGACAUUGUCCAAGUCCUAUGCAAGUUUGAGAUGAUAUUUCCUCCAGCUUUCUUCACAAGUAUGAUGCACGUGAUGGUUCACUUGCCAGAAGAGGCAUUGCUUGCUGGUCCUGUCAACUAUCGCUGGAUGUAUCCAAUAGAAAGGUAUAUAAUCCUUUUCGUUUGUGUAUGCAUCAUUAUCACAGGCUUGCUAAAUUGUAUCAUAUCUUUUUAUUUUGACAGGCUUCUCGGAGAGCUGAAAAAAAGUGUACGCAACAGGGCGAAGCCCGAAGGAUCAAUUAUAGAGGCUUGGGUUCAAUAUGAGUCGCUUAAUUUCUGUGGAAUGUAUUUAAAAGAUGUGGAGACGGCUUUCAAUCGUCCUCAGCGUAAUAACGACGGAGGUAUGAGAAAGGAAAAACUUUAUGUUUUUGCCCAAAGCGCACGGCCCUUUGGAGAUCCUGGACGAGGAGAGUCGUUUUCUACAAAUGACAUGGAAGUAGCGCAUUGGUUCGUACUGAACAAUUGUGAUGAGAUAAUGGCAUACUUAGAUGAGCAUGAAGAGAUGAUGAAGCGAGAACAUCCAUCACAUUUAGUUGCCCAGAAACAACGUGAAUUGUUUCCACAAUAGUUUUUGGAAUCUGUAAGUUAUAAGUUUUUUGUAUUUGACAAAUAUAAAUUUUAGUAUUUAAUUUUAUCAGACUAACAUGUGAAUGGUUUUGUAUUAUAUUAGGUGAAUAAGUUGAAAUCAUCGAAUUCCCCCACUUACAGUGAUGAGUUAUAUAACUUGGCCUUCGGCCCUAUUCGCGCUGAAUUGUUUUCGGGUUGUUAUAUUAACGGUGUUAAAUUUUUGGGGGCUGCACGAGAUGACAAGUUGUGUACGCAAAACAGCGGUGUCCAUGUCCCAGGUGGAGGCGAAAGUACGAACAUUGAUUUCUAUGGGAAACUCACAAAUGUCGUUCAAUUGCUUUACAAAGAUCGAUACCAAGUGAUCAUAUUUAAGUGUCGAUGGUUUGAUAGCAACCCAAAUAGGCCGGGAAGUGUUAAAAUCGACCAUGGCUUACUAUCUGUGAACAUUAACAGAACUUGGUAUGAUGACGACCCUUACAUUUUGGCGAACAUGGCAACACAAAUUGUGUAUCUAGAUGACCCUAAAGCCGGGAGCAGUUGGAAAGUUGUUCAGAAGAUGGAUCAUAGGAACGUGUAUGCUAUACCAGAAUUAGACGGGAACACUGAGAACGACGUCGACAAUGUGGCUGACCAACGUUUAGAAUCAUCAAUGGAAAAUGAUGCGGAUACACUUCGAGAUACACAUGUUAUACAAGAACCGUUUCAAAUUCAAGGAGUGUCUUCAAUCGAAAUACCGAUUCAGUCAAUUACAAUUGACCUCGGGGAUCUCCCAAGAUUCGAUGUUGCAGUGGGCCCGAGCAGCGAAGAUGAUGUAGUUAUAGCAGACGAGGAGGAGGAGGAUUGGGAGACCGAAAGUGAUGAUAGCGACGAUAACGAAAGUUAUUAUAGUUCAGAUGAUGAAUAAUUCAAUUUUUUAUAAUUUUAUUAUGUUUGUGUACAGACUUUGUGUAAUACAAAUGUUCUAAUAUAUGUAGUACAAAUAUCCAAAUCUUAUAUAUGUGGACAACUGAAACAUUAUUCAAAUACAUUUAGUUACAAAACAUUGGUAAAUUAAUCUAUCCAAACCCUUUUAAUAACAAUUUGUAAUUUUUUUUUUCACAACACACAUUUACAAAAUGAAAAUGAUACAAAAUUUGUUAUAAAACAUUGAUAAAUAAUUAUAUCCAAACAUUUUUAUACAAAGUUUGAAAAUUAUUGACAAUAAACAUUUUUCAAAUCUGAAAACCCAUGCGCGACGAAGAACGCAAUUUUUGCGCGACGAAGAAAUAUCGUCGUGCAUAAGUUUGCGCGACAAAGAUAAUUUAUUGCGCGACAAAGUGUCAUGCGUCACGCGAUGAACUUUUGCGCGACGUAAAACAUUUCUUCGUCGCGCAAAUAUUAUAUGAUUUUACAAUAUAUAUUAUAUAUACACAUAUAUAUUUGAAAUUGACGAUCGAGUUAGUUCAUUGUAUUCAUAUAGGGUCAUGGAGUGUAGGUGUAAAAAUUCGUAAAAAUCGGAGUUAAAAUAACCGUUAAAUAAUGAGUUUUCAUUUAUAACCGUUCAAAAGUUUUGACCCGCUACUUGAUCUCCGAAUGUUUUUUUUUUUUUUCCAAUUUUUGGGGUCUAAGAUCUUGAAGUACAAAUAAACAAGUUUGACGGUUCGAUUGCUGAAACUACUUUCGUAGAAUGCGUUUGCCAUAGCAAUCAUAUAUUCACGAACAAUGAAUCGUUUACUUAUACUUUCGUUAAAUAUAACAUAACAUUUUGUCGUAUCACCCUAGUGUAAACAUCUGAAAUUCAUGAUCAACUUCACUAAUUGUAUUCACAUAGGGUAAAGAAAAGUAGCAGUAAAAAAUCUUACAAAUUAGAGCUAAAUUAACCGUUAAAUCAUGACUUUUCAUUUACAACCGUCGAAAAGUUUCGUCCUGUUACUUGAUCUCUUAAUGUUUGUUUGUUUUGAUUUUCGGCAUAUACGAUCUUGAAGUAUAAAAAAACAAGUUUACCGGUCGGAUCAUGAAAACUAGUUUCGGGUGUAGGGUUUCUGUGGUUUAGGGUACAGGGUUUGCGCGACGAAAACACGUGUUAGUCGCGCAAAGCCUGGCCAGGACGGGAUUGCGCGACGGAAAACGUUAGGUUCGUCGCGCAAUAUCACCAGAACUUUCGCCUCCCACUCUUCCUCCCUCUGGACACUUAGUGAAAAUUUUGUGGGUGUUUUUGCGCGACGAUGUAACGUAAUUCGUCGCGCAAUACCCUAUUAAAAUUUCUUGCGCGACGUAACGUUUAUCACUGUGUCGCGCAAGAUUUCAAUAUCGCCCGCUAAACCCUAAAUCCCAAAUUUGGGCGGACUGCCAACAUUGCGCGACGAAUUGCUUAUUCUUGCGUCGCGCAAGGUUUCAAAAUCGCCCCGCUAAACCCUAAAUCCCAAAUUUGGGCGGACUGCCAACAUUGCGCGACGAAUAAGUUAUUCUUGCGUCGCGCAAGGUUUCAAUAUCGCCCGCUAAACCCUAAAUCCCAAAUUUGGGCGGACUGCCAACAUUGCGCGACGAAUUGCUUAUUCUUGCGUCGCGCAAGGUUUCAAAAUCGCCCCGCUAAACCUUAAAUCCCAAAUUUGGGCGGACUGCCAACAUUGCGCGACGCAAGAAUAAACUUGUAUUUCGUCGCGCAAAACCCAUUUAAACUUUCUUGCGCGACGUAUCUUUUAUCACUGCGUCGCGCAAGAUUUGAAUAUCGCCCGCUAAACCCUAAUUCCCAAAUUUAGGCGGACUGCCAACAUUGCGCGACGAAAUAAACAUGUUAUUCGUCGAGCAAAACCCAUUUAAAAUUUCUUGCGCAACGUGUUGAUAUAGUCGUCGCGCAAAAAUGAAUAAAAUUUCAGAAACCACGCGAUGGCCUCCUUCUUCCCCAGUUUUCACAAAACUUCAACGCCGCCGUCUCUCUCCCUCCGCCGCCGCUGCCGCCUACCUCGGUGGAUUUGGACCGCGCUCGCCUUUCAGCUGUUACCCCGGAGCUCCCCCCCCCCGUCACCGUCGAGCCAGCCGCCGCGAUUUCUUCGGUUGUCACAGAAUCGGCUCCGCCGUGAUUCUCCCUCCUCCGGCAACCAAUUCCGACACCUGAUGUAUGGUUUCUGUCCUAUUUUUCAUGCUUUAGCUGAUGGUUGGGUAGGAAUUGGUUGAUUGUUGCUCUAGGCCGCUUAAUUUGAAACCCUAAGUUUCGGCCGGAUUUUGAAUUUCAAUUCCGGCCACUUCCGGCCAUUUUUCGGGCUAUGUCCGAGAACAAAAGUGGCCCGAAAUGAUGUAUUCAACCUAGGGUAGGAACCUUGGCCCUUAGUUUUACGAAUUUUCCGGCGAUUGGUAUCGCUUUGGGGCAGCGCGUGGGGCGGCGCGUGGGGUACUGUAGCGGCCUGAAUCAGGUCCCAGUGCAAUCGUUUGGUUGUCACGAGCGCAUAGGUGUUUUCGGAUUGGAAUUUGGUUGCUGUUUGCGUCUCGAACGGAUUUUGCCUAUUGUGCGAUUUCCGGGGUUGUUAUGUUCGGACCGUUGGAUCGAACUCAAACUCACGUAUGGUGUAGGUUGUAUUUGUUGGAUCGUCUACGAUUCGACGGAUCGUGGAUCGGAGUCCCGGAUACUCCAAACUCGCAAACCCUAGGUCCAUAAUCUGAAUUGUAUCAUAUCAAUAUCGGAUAUUCGUAUAUUUUAUUAAUUCGUUUCUGUAUUUAUGAAAUUGUGCAGAUGUCAGACCUGAUUACACGUCGUAGGGCGGUGACGACCACGCAGAGUUCGGGGCCCCCGACUCAGCCGACAUCUGCUGCCACUGCACCAGCAUUGAUGGAGCACUUGGCAGUUGGACCUGCGGGGUCCCAGGCGCCUGCCUCAUCAGCGUCAUCAGUGGCGCAGCCUGUUAGCGCCAGGCGGCGUCAUCGGCCCGCCAGCACCACCGACACCACAUCCACGGAUGCGUCGGGGUCACAGCCAGGUAUAGCCAUCACAUUUAUCCAGUUCAUUUUAUGUUUUAUUUCUUCUUGUUGUUUUUUAAUUUUUGUAUGUGUAUUUGAUUGUUAAAUUUAUUUUUUAUUUAACAUUCAUGUCAUCUUUCUUUGCAGCAAAGAAGAACACCCGAGGGCCGUGUCGGCAAUUGAAGACGGCGAAGGUCACCCGGGUGACCAACAGUCGUAUCAACAUCGGAUACGACGAGCGACAUCGGGCUGCACCGACGGCGGAGUUGCAUAGCUCCUUGGCCCACGACAUUGGUCAUGUCAUUCGGAGCUAUUGUCCGAUGCAAUGGAAGUCUUGGAAGGUGAUGCCUGACGAGACCAAGACUGCGGUUCGCGGCCAGUUGUCUAUAUGCAGGCCUUUUCAUUCUUUUUCUUUCAAACGUAGUUUUUAUAUUAUUUAAAUGUAUGUAAUUAAUUUAUUGCAGACGAACUACAACUUGGAGGACCUUGACGAAGAGUCGUUGGCGUACGUCAACAGACUCUUCUCUGAGAGGUACAAGCAGUGGAAGAGCGACUUGCACCACCAUUUUGAGGCGUUCGAUGAUCCGCAAGUCGCUCUUCAAGAGGGUUGCCCGAAAGAGCUUGAGGGGCGGGAGGAUAGUUGGGCGUGGCUCUGCGCUCAUUUUCAGGCGCCCGCUUUUGUGGUAAUUUUGUAUAUUUUAUUUUAUUUUAUUACAAAUGUUUUUUUAAUUUUUUAUAUUUAAUUUCAAUUUCAACUAAUACGUUUUAUUUUUUGUAUAACAGAAUAAAGCCAAAGUCAAUAAGGGCAAUAGGAAGAAGAAGACUCUUCUCCAUCAUUCGGGUUCCAGGCCCUUCUCCUAUCGGAUGGAUGCACGGCGUCAGGUAAUAAUAGAAUAAUUUUUAUUUAAUUUUUUACUUUUUCAUUAUUCUUAAUUUAUUUUGUCGUUCUAAUAUUUGUCUUCUUUUGUUCAAUUUAGGGGGGGUCCAAAUUCCCAGAGAUCGACGUCUUUGGCGACGUUUAUGUUCGGCCUGGGAAUGAGUUGGCCGAGUCCCUUCAUGUAAGUAUUAUUUAAUUUUAGUUCUUAUGUUACGAUUCAACUUUAAAGUUCAUUAUAUGAGUGUUUGAAUUUAUAUUUUAUGUUAUGCUAAACAAACGACGAUAGUGGAGAGGAGCCAGUUGGUUCUUCAGGAGUCUGCCUCCCAACUUCCUCCCGAUACUCCGAUCGAGUCUGUGGAUCCUCCACAGGAUGCUGGGUUUCAGAUCUUGACGGAGACAUUGGAUCAGACUCUAGGGAGGAGACCGGGGACAUAUUGUCGAGGGAUGGGGAAUGCCAGGCGGAGGAAACCCAGACCCCGUUCAUCAGCGCAGUCGAACAGUCAGGUCUGCUUUGACAGCACAUGUGGCCACUCUUCAGAGCCAGAUGUCGGUCAUUCUGCAGUCCCUCGCACAGUCCGGCAUUCCAGUCCCGCAUUUUGAUGUGCCGACCUCCCAGCCCGUCCACCCCGAGCAUGCCCACCAGACCACUGCCCCAGUGGACGCCCAGACCUCCGAGCCGUAUACUGGCGACGACCCGGUUGAUUUUGCUUCAUUAUUUGAUUAGUGUAUUUAUUUUCAUUAUAAACAUUUAUUUUAUUUGUAAUACAUUUAUUUUAUUUUAUAACAAAAAUUUAUUCUAAUUUAUUUUUAUUGCAAUUUCAUUGUUUAAUCAAUAAAAAAACCAAUUUUUUUUUUUUUUAAAAAAAAUUGUAAUAUUAUUUUUGCGCGACGGAAAACAUGUUGUCGCGCAAACAUGUAACAAAAAAAAAAUAAAAAAAUCAACUUUUUUUUAUUGCUUUUCAUUCUUGCGCGACGAACACAUAAGUCUUGCAAACACGUUUUGCGCGACGAAAGGUUUCGUCGCGCAUCUAGUUUUGCGCGACGACAGUGAUGUUCGUCGCGCACAUAUAUGAGCGACGAAAACAUUCUCAUCGCGCGAAUGGUUCUGCGACGAACAUAUACGUCUCCCGAACAAGUUUUGCGCGACGAAUUAAAUUUCGUUGCGCUAUUCCUGUCGAAUACUUGGUCGUCGCGCAAAGAUUUAUGCGACGACUAGUUGUUCCGUCUCCACACCGUUGGUGCAACGAUGGUUUACCCGUCGCACUGUUUUGCGCGACGAAGGGUUAUACCUCGUCGCGCAAAGGCUUUCUUCACGAUCUUCGCGCGACGGAAUGUGCGCGACGAAUGUUUUGUCGUGCUGAAAUUAGUGCGACUAAAUAAGACUUUGCGCGACGUUUUGUUAUUCGUCGCGCAAAGAGUAAAAUGUAGUAGUGAAUGGCAGAGGACGCGAUUCUAGGAUACCCGGAGAAAAACAAUCAAAUAUCAGACUCAAUUCAAGAACAUGAAUAAAAGAUUUCAUUGACAUAGUGGUCUUGUUUGUGUCGGGGUGUAGAAUCCCUGUUUGGAGUUUGCUACUCCAAAAUCUGAAAUGGCCUAAACCAUGUGAGUUAAAACUUUUUUUUUUAAAAUACAACUAAUAAUCUAAAUUAUUAUAAAUUAAUCUAAUCUAAGGGGAAAGGGACUCAAAUUUGGGUGUAAGGAGGUGGGCACAUUGCCCUGGCCAACUAAUCUUACCCACAACUUGAGUUAAAACCUACAAUAUAAGUAAUUAACAUAUACAUUUUGCUUGUUUCUAAAGGUGCGCUUAGGCUUUUCAUUGACUCAGUCUUGUUGAGGAAAUGACGAGAGUUUUUAAUUUGUAUUUUAGAUGGAUGUGUUAUAUUUUGAUGAAAAAUAUCAUUUUAAAAUAUUAUAUUUUGAUGAGACAUAAGAUAUUAUAACGAAAGUUUUUGAUAAAAUGCCAUAACAGGAAUCAAAUGAUUAAAGAUUGACUUGAAAAAAAGAACCUUCAUACAAUUUAGGGCAAAGUAAACAAGUCAUAUAUAGCCUAGAAAAACAUAACGAACCAAAAGAAAAGGCCCAAAAUACUAAUUUUACAUAUAUAUAUAUGUUUAUAUAUUUAUAUUAUUUUAAUUACGGUAUCGGUGCCGUACCUGUAUCCUACUUUUUGGAGAUUUGCUGUAUCGGUGUAUCGUAUAGUAUCGGAGUACCUGUAUCCGUAUCGAUGCAACAUAGGGACUGAUACAUAUCUUGUGCUCUUUAAUUUCCAGCGCAAAUUACCUGUUAGAAGUUUACUCCUUUUACAUUGUAAUUAGAUUGCUGGAUGGUUGUUCAUUUGGUGUUUCCUGGUUGGAGGUUGAGGCUUUGCUCUAGAUGACUUUAGCCCACAAAAGAGAAAUUAGUCUAUAUGUUUCAAUUUAUUUUAGAAGCAUAAUCAAUCUAACUAAAAUGGUCAUGUAGGCAAACAAUAAGAUAGUCACUGUAAAAGAUUGAUGUGAUCAUAAAAAAAGGUAUUGACAAGCUUUUAAAUGUGCUUAUCGACCUACUAAUUAGUUCAACUUUGUAUUUUGUUUUAAAUUUAGAUAUUUGUUGUAGUCCAUAUAAGAAAGGGCCUAUUUCUUAUUGUCUUCUACAUAGUUGAAGCACCUUCAUAUGGCAUAAUGAAGUAAAAGAAUAUGAUUGAAUUUGAUCUGUACAUUAUAGCGAGGUUGUUCUUUAAAAUUGGCAUGCGCAAAGUAGGAAACCUUGAGUUUGUUUUCUACCUCACCAAAUAAUUUGACAAAAGAAUAAAGUAGUGCAAAAAAGGCUUCUUUGAAGCCCUAUUCUUUGGAUGAUGGCUUUGUGUAAUUGAUUUCUCUGUUCACGUAAUAUGAAAUUGGUACUUAGGUGACGAGGGGUAAACUUAAAAGAUAUUCAACCAAGAACGCAACAAACUUCACACACUCUAGACCUUCACCAAUACACUUAUGACUAGUCAACUGCUAGGCAUGAACAUCCACAAUUAAGAAUACACACAGAGUAUGCCACAAUGUACCUGCAACCCUAGAAGAUUACUAGUGACAACCUAGGCACUCAGAAGGACCCGUCAAUCUAGGCAUUCCCUGUGCUAGCAACAACUAUGGUGAAAGUGUGUGAAAUUAUCAUAAUCAAGUAAACACCAAACAGCAGAUAAUGAUGACUAGUCAACUAUAAGGACACAAACUCAGAAUUCAUAGGAUGACUAGUCAACCACUAAGAACACAAACCCAGAAUUCAUAGGAUGACUAGUCAACUAUAAGGAUACAAACCCAGAAUUCAUACAAUGACUAGUCAACCACUAAGAACACAAACCUAGAAUUCAUAGGAUGACUAGUCAACCACAAUUCAUACGAUGACUAGUCAACCACCAAGAACACAAACUCAGAAUUCAUACGAUGACUAGUCAACCACUAAGAACAGAAACCCAGAAAAAUUACAGUGAUGCAAUCAGAAAUUGUUCACCUAGAAACCCACAAUUGGGAAAAACUGGGAGUCAUCAACCGACCAGCCAAUCCACUAAGUAGAAAAAGAUUCUUACAAAGGAACACGAGCAAGCUCAAGAAAAACUUAGAUCUAUUUAGGAAGAUGAGCUAUACCUCCUUUGUGCAAUCUUCUUCUCCAACUUAGCAAAGCUUGAAGCUCAGUUCUUCAUGGCAAUGACAGCUCUUUCUCCAGCUCAUUCAUCCCAUGACACCAGCUUGCAAGCUCUAACUUAGUCAGAAACCAAAAUUUGGAUUCAAAGGAGAAUGACCAAUUUCUUCAAGAAACCAUACUCUUGAGGAAAUCAAUCUUGAAUCUGACCUAAAUAUAUAUGAGAGAGUGUUGAUCUAGCAAGAUGAGGAUUUCAUAUUUCAAAUGCAGUUUUCAAAAAGAAACAUUUUGGAAAACUCAAAGAUGAAAAAUAUGAAGGUUACACUUGAGGAAGAAGAGAAAGUUUACAAAGAAACUUUCCAAAACUUGCCUACAAAAGUGAUAGCUACCAAAUGAGGAAUUCCUUGGCUUUUACCAAAAAUUCCUAGGUCAGAAUAGACACAUGGCAGCUGAGAAAUUCGUAGAAAAAGAUAAAAAAAUGGUUAAGCCCCAACUGGAAACAGUAAGCUGGAAAACCGAAUUGAAACAAAGGUUGGCUAGUCAUACGAAUGCAAGAUGACUAGUUAUACAAAGAAAAGAUGACUAUUCAUAAUCUUCAGAAAUUUAAUGAAUGCAAUGUAGUGUAAUGCAGAGUUUACCUUUGUCAAACACAUUGUUUUCCAUCAUAAUGUAGGCAGAUAAGAACACCUAGAGAAGUAAUUCUUAAUCUAAACUUAGAGCUUGGGAAACUACAAUGAUUGUCUUAUUACAAAAUUGUCAAGGGAAGCCAAAAGAAAAAACUCAAAAUGCAUACAUUAACAUGAUCGAAAAUGAGUUUUAAUGUAGGUAAUAAACUUUUAAGAUAAAUAAUGAGCCUGAAAAGAUUGCAAGCUUUUUGAGAGAGUAAUGUAUUGUGAAUUAUUGGGCCAUUUAUUGCAAUAUCAGAAAAGUCAUGUGUAUUGGAUGAUUAUGGCUGAUUGAUAUUCAUUCAUUUCGUAUGCUACUUACUUUGAUAUUAAAGUCAAUGUUGAUCCUGCGUUGUGGCUGCUGCAGAUUGGCAAUCUCGGGCUUCUGCUUCUAUGGCAUAUUCUACACCUUUUUGUCAGCAUAUGGUACUUUCUAUUGGGUUUAGCUUAUGUUCUUCAAAGCUAUCUUAUUUCUGGUGGAGUACUCGAGCUACAAAGCCCUUAAUUUGGGCAAGCUACGUUACCUGGCAAUUGUGAUAGAAAGUGAAGAAGCUUACCAAACAUCAAAAGUAAUUGAGCUGCUGCAGUGGCUAGAAGCUAUUGGUGUGAAGCGUGUGUGCCUCUAUGAUACAGAAGGUAAUGGUGGUUUGCUAUCCUGAUUGAUGUCAGACGCUUUCUACUAUUGGUAUGCAACAAUGUAACAUAUGUAUUUAAAUCUUGUACAAUUAUUUGACUUUUCUGAUGACCAGGAGUGUUGAAGAAAUCAAAAGAAGCCAUCUUGAAUAAACUGAGAAAUGCAAGCGAAUUUAAGGUGUUGUCUUCUGUCCCUACAGUAAAGUUACUUUCUGGUUCUACAAUUCUCCACCAUAAAUUAACUAAUUAGCAUACUGGGAAGCAGUUCAGGCCGUCACGAUCAAUCUUCCCUUCUAGGUGUAUCUAGAAUUCAGGAUUGUGUUGAGACCAACAGAGUUUUCUUUUGAUACCAAUACCAAGCAAUUGCCUUUAAUUUUUGUUUUAUAUUUUUAAUAUGACUCCUAUAUAAAGCAUACAUUGGUAGUCCACCACUAGAUUACUGACGUAGGGCGAGUGAGGUUUAAGUUUAUGCAAAGUAGUAUUUUUUUCUAUAAUUAUAUAGAUCUGAUAAAUGAUUUGUGCCUUUCACAAUGGACAGUUAUGCAUUAUUUAUGAUGCCAAAGUGUAUACCCAACUUAACAUCCAUGCUGUGCAGGCUUAUGAAGAUUUAGACGAUCAAAACCACAUGGCUCUGGAAAUUUUGUCAUUUUCUGAUGGAAAAGAAGCUGUAACCAAAGCAGCUAACUUACUUUUUGUGAAGUAUUUGAAGUUGGCCAAAUCAGUUGGAGAUCAUGAAGAGAAAAUCUUUACAGAACCUAACAUGGAUGAGGCACUAAAAGCUAUUUGUAUGUUCUACGGUCAGAUGCUCAAUUGCCUACAAUAAGGGUUACCUGCACAAUUCAAUUUGACCUUACAGGUGUUUAUGGUAAUAUGCUUUCAGGUUGUAGAGGGCCAGACCCUGAAAGCAUAUUCUACCUGGAAAGGAUACAAAAGGGCUAUGAAGAGUAAUCCUAAGAUAACUUCAUCAGUGAUAUUCUUGACUAAGACGAAUGAGGUUUUAAAACAAAUCUUAUUUUGACAGACAUGGGCUUUGAGAAUUUCAAAGUUUAAUUGGAGUGACUUUCCUGAAGCAGUACUUAGCGAUUCAGACUUAUUGUUUGGACCUGGAGAGAAGACUCGGUUGACAGGAAGACUUUGAAAAAACUACAGAAUAAAAAGCAAACUUCAAACAUAAAGAAGAUGACCAGUGACUUUGAACUGCAGAGAAGCAAACCACUCAAUCUCCAGUUCCCUUCCAAAAGUCAUCCUCUUAUUUUUCCAGAAGUGGUUGUCACCUUUUUAUUGUUGAAUCCAAAUAUAAUAGCAUCACCAAUCCAGUCACAAUUGCAAAGUCAUAUUUUCCUCCAAAUUGUCAUUUUGUGCCUCAAGCUCCUUACAAAUCCCUCAAAUAUUAUAGGGAUAUCCUUCAUGAGACCCAGUCAAUCGAAAUUAAGCCCAUCAAAGAUCGUAAUAUAUAUAUACAGUCAUGAUCUCUUGGACUACAAGGGUCCAAGAGAUUUGUGGUCACUCACCGUUGGAUGUAAAUUCAACGGUUCACUCACUCUUACACUCCUUUUAAGAAACUUUUUUGAACCAUUGGAUUAAUAUCCAACGGUGGGUGACCACAAUCUCUUGGACUCCUGUGGUCCAAGAGAUCGGGACUAUAUAUAUAUAGGUUAUUAAGCGUGCUAUAGUUUAGGGAAUCUGUUGUUAGGUGAAAAAAGUAUUGGUUCAUUAAAUUCAACGGCAAAUGGUGUAAUUUGUUAUUAAAAAUAGGGGCUAGUUAAAUGGUGUGUUUAUUAAUUAGGAAUUGAAUUCUACUUAUGAAGGAUUUCUGUGUUCACUUCACAUCAAGUAAUUAAAAAGUAAGUGGGAUCCAUACAAAAUUAGGAAUUGAAUUCCUGAUUUUGGAGUAAUUCAAAUCUUGGGUGGGAGGUAAUAUUUUAAUUCACAGAGAAGUAACCUAUUAUGAAUUCAUCUUUUUUAUCCAUUAUAUCCUCACACAAAUUUAAAAUUUAAAAUUUGCCAUCUACUUUAACCUAACAACAAGGACAUUUUAGUAAUGAGUACCAUUCAUACCCCAAUUCCAUAUGGUGUAGUAAACAACUUCAACGGGAAUCCAGAAUUUAACUCUCCUCAAUCCAUAUGGUUUAGUAAACAACUUCAAUAGGAAUCGUGAAUCUAAUUCUUCUUAAUCCAACUCCUCCUCAACUCCCCCUCAAUUUAUUUAUGAUGUAUUGUAUGAGAACUGUAAUUCGUAAUAAAAGAACUGUCCUUUGUCCUUGAUAUGAACUCAAACUUGUUGUACUAGUUGUUUUACAUUAAUAAUAUUUUAUCGCUUAUCAUUAAAAAAAAAAAACAAGAGAAAAGGUAUAUAUGUAAUUGUUUUCCCAAUAACAUGAAUGCUGGUUGGGUGUCAAUAUCAAUUAUUGUUAUAGGUCCUUGGUGAGCUAUUAAUGAGAAUAUUCUCAUUAUUGCUUUUGACACAACAAAAAAAAUAUCACAAAGGGUAGGCACAUUAUAAAAUCCUUUCCAAUAAAAAUAUAUAAAAUAUAUAAAAUAUGUUUUCUCCAUUGCGUAGAAAACAUUUAUACUCAAAUAAAUUUAAUUAUUGUAAAUGGAUUUAUCCGUACGCCGGGGUUGGUGUUCUUUUGGGAUACAAAUUCUGGUUUCUGUUAGCAGGGCCAAUCCAGGAUUGGAUAUGGAGGAUAUGGAUUUAUCCAAAUAAAUGAGGGACUCAAAUGGUAAAACGUUCUCGAGGGGUUAACUUAUCCAAGCGGAUCAUAAGAAGUAAAUACAUUUUAUCUUUACAUAGCAGCCACCUCAUGCUAACACUCUCAAAAUCAAUGUGGAUGGUGCUUGGAAGCCAGGGACCACAGCGAGGGUGGCGUUGGUCUGGUUGUAAGACUCCAGCGGCAAAUUUGUGGUGGGUUGUGGGAUUAAAAUGGAUAAUGCAUUCUAUGCGCUAUAAGUUUGUGGCGGGUUAUGGUGUUAAAGUGGAUAAUGUAUUCUCUGAGUCAUAAGUGGAGGCUUUGACUGCAAUAACAUGUACAAUAUUGGCAAUGGAAACGGGUUUGAAACUGAUGCUCUCUAGGUCACUUGAUAAAGUAUUACUCAUAUUCGUCAUACUGACAAUCCUGAUUUUAUUUUAUUUUCGAUGUAUUAUAUUUGUAUAAGGAUUGUAAUUCAUGAUUCAGAAACCGUCCUUAGCCCUUAAUAUGAAAUCAAACUCCUUGUACUAGUUGUUUCACGUCAGUAAUAUUUUAUUGCCUAUCAUAAAAAAACAAAAGAUAAGGUAUAUAUAUGUAAUUUUUUUCCCAAUAACAUGAAUGAUGGUUGGGUGUCAAUAUCAAUUAUUGUUAUAGGUCCUUGUUGAGCUAUUAAUGAGAAUAAAAAAGUCCACUUUUCCAAUAGAGAAAGAGAGUGAUUCCUCUAUUGCUUUUGAAAGAACAAAAAAAAAAAAAAACACAUUAGAAAAUCCUUUCGAAUAAAAAGAUAUAAAAUUUAUUUUCUCCAUUACAUAGAAAACAUUUUUACUAAAAUAAAAAGAAGAGUAUUUAAAUCCUACUAGUCAUAAUAAAAAUCCCUAGUAAACCCUAGUGGACUGGACUUUAAAUCCUAGUUGACUUGACUUUUGUUUUCGUCACCAUCGCCUUGCUUGCUCUGCCUGAGCACGGCAUUCGCCUUUUUCCACCUGUGAUAUUUACCAAACAGCACCUCCGUCUCUUCAAGGGUUCUUCCCCUGGUUUCGGGGAGCAACAUAUAAAAGAAGACCCAACUCAACGCAGCAAUCCCUGCGUAGAGAAAGAAGGCCCCACCAAUCGUAAUGGUCUUGUAUAGUGAGAGAAAAGUCAUGGAUAUGACGCCACUUGUCGCCCUGUUCACGGCCACUCCCAUACUAACUCCUUGCGCGCGUAGCUUCAGCGGGAAGAUCUCAGAGCUAUAAACCCAUGUUAUGGGCCCCAACCACCAUGGUGAUGCACAAUGCGAUGGCCCACGGGACCGUGUCGCGGUGAUGAUCGAUGAUCGUGAGACCCACCCCGAGGCAUACGAGCGAAAAUAUCAUCCCAGCCACGCUGGACAAAAGCAACCAGCGCCGCCCGAACCGAUCAAGGAAAAACGUGGCGACCAAGAUGGCAAUGGUCUUGACAAAUCCAACGCCCACGGUUGCAAGGAGCCUCUGGUCGUAAGAUUUGAGCCCCGCCUUCUCGAAGAUCCUGGGGCUGUACAGGACGACAGAGUCUAUGCCCGAAGCUUGUUCGAAGAAGUGGAUGCCGAGGGCUGCGAUCAAAAUGUGGCGCACGGCUGGCGUCGGGUGCAAGAUCAAGUCUUUCCAUACGCCUUCACCAUGGCUUUUCUUCGAGACCGGAACAACGUCGUCGUCUAGCUCUUUGGCGAUGCCUGCGGCUUCUUUGAUGUCGUCUAGCCUCAACUGGGCCUCUUCCUUGGAGGCUGAGGUUUUGUCGAGGACGCGCUUGGCGUCCCCAAGUCGCCCCUGCAUGACGAGCCAACGCGGCGACUCUGGCACGGCUAAGACGCCGAUGGCGAGAAUAAUGGCUGGAAGGGCGCCGAUGCCGAGCAUGAACCUCCAAUAGAGGUGAGCUGGGAGCUUGGAGAAGGCGUAGUUGGAGACAUACCCCAAUAAUAUGCCAAUAUUGACGAACACCUGUAAAUAUUUAUCCAAAUAAAUCAAAUAAAUUAGUAUAAAUUCUACACCUAUAAACCACAGAAAGUCAUAUAACACUUGCCAAAAAAACACAUACAACCCGUUCACCUCAUCUAUUUAAUAAAUCUUACGUUGUCAAAAGUUGUUUCCAACCACAUCCACAUCCAAAAGUACAAAAUCAAAAUCAAACAAAGGGUAUAUGGUGGGGAGAACUGGAUAAACAUCAUCACAGGUAUCAAAAGCUGUUUCACAUGAUGUCUCCAAAAGUGCUUCCCAGAUUGUGAAAUGUGAUGAUAUCACAAUUGAGGAAACAAACACUUCCUACUUUUGUUUCACAUGAAACCAGCUUAGUUUUGUUUCGGGCUCAAAAACAAAAAACAAAAGGUAAAUAAACAAACAAGGAAAGAAAACAAACCUCAGGGAAAGAUGUGAGGAAGCCACGGGACAAAGUCGGAGCGAUCUCGGCGGUGUAGACCGGAGAAAUCAUGAGACCGUAGCCAACACCGAUUCCAGCAACGAACCGGCCGAACAUAAGGAAGGUGUAGCCCUGGGCGACGCCCAUGAGGAUAGCUCCGACCGAGAAGAUGGCUCCGGAGAGGAAGGCGGUGUACCGGCGCCCGAUCCAAUCGGAGGUUCUGCCGGCCAAGGCGGAGCCGAGGACAGAAUAGAUGUUCAAUGUGCCGGUAAGUAUUUGAAUCUGGACGUCGUUGAUUUUGAGGUCAUCUUGGAUGAAGAGGUUCGCCCCACUCAUCACACCAAUAUCUGUAAACAAAAGUGACCACGCUCAGUUCAUACACUCCAAAACCAACAAUUUUUUCUUGCAAAAUUAAGAUUAAAAAAGUAAGAGAAAACGAUUUCGAGUGCUAAUAGGAUAAUUACCGUAGCCCAGUAAAAUUGAUGUCGUGCAAGCCAUAAGGGAGCAGGCAAUGGCGAAUUUGUUUCUCUUGGGUUUCUGUGGCGGAUCAAAGUCUUCAGCGAUCGGGUCAGCCAUCUCGAUCUAGAGAGAGAGAGAGAGAGAGAGAGAGAGAGAGAGAGAGAGAGAGAGAGAAGUAUCAGAGAGCGAGCAGCGACAGGGAGAGAGUGAGAGAGGAAUAGAAUAUAAUUCAUUCAAUAUAUAAGCAAACUCUUUCUUAAAGUAGUAUUAGUUAUUGUAAGGGGAUUUAUCCGUAUGCCAUGAAAAAUGCAAUUGCAGAAGUCUUUCCUGAAAAGUUCCUGAAAAGUUCCUAGUAAAAGACUAGGCAUCGAUUGUGCUUGUGGCAUAUAAUGAAGAAAGUUCCUGAAAAGUUGAAAAGUUACAAGAAAUAUGAGUCCAUUGACUCGUUAUGAAUUUGAAGAGCGUUGGGUUGAGAUGAUUGCCAAAUACGGGUUGCAUAAUAAUGAUUGGUUAAACAGCAUAUAUAAAGAGAGACAUCAUUGGGUGCCAAUAUUUGUAAAAAAUCAUUUUUUGGCAGGAAUGUCUACCACACAACGUAGUGAGAGUAUGAAUGCAUUUUUUGAAAAUAAAAGAGAGGUUAGCAAAUAAAAGAGCUACAACUUAUACAAGUGAUGUCUUUUGUCAAGAUGUCUUACAUAUUUUACUUGAAAUUUUUGUAGAUACCUGCACAAAGUGAUGUCUUUUGUCAUACUGAUGCUCCACCAAUUUGUGAAAGUGAUAACUUGGUUGGAACACAAGAGAGCAAUAAUGCUGUAUUGGUAUGACAUAAAUAUAUUAUUGUAAUUAAUUCUAAUAAUUGUUAUUGUGUAUUGUAGGACAAUAUGGCUUUGUUACUAGGGCUCACUCAUGGUGGUCAUCCAGAUCAGUUGUACAAACGACCAUUGACAGGAAAUAUAACACAUUUUAACGUAAUGUUUUAUUUAUCAUUCUCAUGUCUCAUUUAUCCUUUGUCACAUGUAGCGUGACCAAUAUCAAAAUUGGAAUGGAGGUUCUGGUUUGUACAACCUAGCUCUAGUUCAAGAGGAAAUGAUCACCAACAACUCAAAUGAAAAUAGAAGCAAAAGUUAAAGGAAUAUCUUGUGGAAUUUUGUAUUGAUAAAGUGAUUUAUUAGUCUAUUUAGCACCAAUAAUAUUUUGUUUUUUAUAUAGAUAAUGCAUGACAUAUACUUUAAAAAUGAAAAUUAUUUACAAGGAAAACACAGUGAUUGAACCCAACCAUUAUAAAGCAAUGAUAGGUGACUGCAUCACUUCAUACAUUAGGAUUUCUUCAAAAUUUGACAUACAAAUUAUUGACAUACUUGCACGCAAAAAGCUUGAGUGCAACAACAUGAACUUUGCCUUUUGAAUUCAAUUUUGUACAAUACUUCUCAUAGGAACCAAAUAUGUAACCAGGGGAAACGACACAUCCACAAAGUAUGCAAUUGGUUCCUGUUUCAUUUCUCUUUCUUCGUAUUCCUUGGUAUCAAAAUGUGGAUACAUUGGUCGAUUGGAAUUUCAACCUUGAAUUUCAAAUUUCAGCAAUGACCUCAAGCUUGAAAGCUUCCCAGGUGGAUCACCAACCUUCGAAUCUUUGUCCCUGCAUACAAAUAUGAAGUAAAGCAAACCCAUGAGAGAAACUAUGACAAAGAGGAAAAAAAAACAGCCCAAGUAUUCAAUCAAAUUAUAAGAAAACUUCAGUAAUAUUUACCAGGGAAUUCCAAACAUGUUCUAGAGCCAAUCAAUUUUGAUAAACCUAGAAGACUGUAUAACAAGAUAGAAAAAUUCCCUCUCUCGGAAAAAGAAAAAUCAAGGAAGACAAACACAACAUUCCCCAGUUUGACAAGUCAUGGUAGCAGAGUAUCAAUAUAUAAUGUAAAAUUCCCAACAAACAUUUGAUGCAAAGAUGAAACUUAAGAUUUCCCGCAUACAGAUCAUGUUUUCAUCACGUACAGAAAUCAGGUCCCUAAAAAUAUGACAUACACAAAUAUACAAAUAAAAUACAGAGGAUUGUUUUGGAUAGGUAUAUAGAGGAAAUAUGGAUAUCUCCAUUCAAUUGGCACCCUUAUUGAUUGUCCUAGCAAUAUAAACAAAUCAGGAUUUGAAAUUUCUUUUAUGGAUCAUGAAUCAAUCUUAUGACUCAAAUUUGAUAAUUUAUCCAUAGAUCAUAAAGAGUAAAAGCUUCUGACUUAUGUUUUCAUACUUGCAGGUUCUAAUUGAUUCAGAACCGAAAAAUGGUUAAAAUUAUUUAAAAAAGGCAUAAAAAGAAACAAUGGAGAAUGACCAUAAGUCAUCAAUGGAGGAGAACGAACAUGAAAAUAUAUAGCAUCCCAAUCAAAAAAAGAACUGAUAGAAAAGAAAAGAAAAAAAAAUCAUAAAUACUCACAAUAACCAAAGGAGGGACAUUGGAGUGCCAAUUCAUGGUGUAGGAGGAUAGCAGAUGAAAAAGGCGAGAGGAGACGUUGACUGUAGAAGAGAAGAGGAACGAAGGAGAGGAGGAGGGAGAACCAAUUUUCACGUUCGCUAGGGUUUUUCUGUUUUUUCUUUUUUUUUUUUUUUUCUUUUUUGCCAAUUGAUAAAGGUUAAAAGAAAUAAAAAAUUGAAAUAAUUUUAAUUGAUGUGGCUGUUCACCUCAGCUGUCACAUAAAGUGAAAUAAUAGGUGGUAUACAAAAUGUAAGAGUAGCAUUAUUGAUAUAAAAAAGUAUGCUUUUCCUUUUUCCAAGAAACAUAGUGUAAUACUAAAUUGUUG
rnacentral:lncRNA from 1 species